GGGAGUUUUUGCAGAUUUUCAAAUAAAACUCAGAGAUUCCUUGUAUGACUCUCUAAAUCUCUCUUUUGUGGUAUUUCUGGAUCCUUACCAAGGCAGUGAUGGUAUAUGCCUUCUCUCAAGAUAUGUGGUAUUUGUGGUAUAAGGCAUAGUGACAUUGCCUUCUCUCUCACCCUACUCUAAUAAGGCUUUAAUAUCUGGAGCUCAUAGGUGGGAGACAGCUAAUACAUACUUACAAGACAUUUAUUGCAUAGUCAAACCAUGGAUCCAGAGAAACAAGUCAAUAAGUCAAAUCAAGAUGUGUAUGUGUGGCAAAUGAAUGGUGUAUGGUUAUGAUGGUGAUAACAAUGGUGGAAGUCUAAUUCUACUUUUGCUCUUUUGAGGGGAUACAUACCUUCCUUGCUUUUUGAAACUUUAUGAGGAGAAUGAGAUGCUCUAUCUUUCAUUUUUUCUUUCCUCUCAGGUGGAUAUCCUGUACCCCUAAUUCUACUGUCUGACACUUGUCCAUUUUUACCUCUCGUCUCACUCUUUUUCUUUUCUUUCGAGGUUCCGGGCACUUGCCCCUUUUUAUUUCCUCGUAUAUUUUUUUCUCUUCUUUUUUUAGAGAACUCAUUUUAUGAGAUAAUAUAGCAAGUGGUAGUAACAAGAUAACUUGAGCAUUUAUUUCACAAGGAAAAACAGAAAUAUUUUUGGUUAUUCUCUCCCGAAUUAGGAGUAGAAUAUUUUGGGUGGUUCUGGAGAUGGAAAUGAGUGGAUAUAUGUGGAUGGUACUUCUGGAGUAGAAGUAGCAUAUAUGAGUGAAUGUGCAAGUGAAAUCUUGAUUUAACCACAUGACAAGCUCCUAGGGGUCUACACAGCCUGACCACACUCAAUGCUCAUAAGCAGUAAAUAGUAAAUGUGUGGCUCAAAGUCUAGCAAGCAUGUAUAUAUGGCUGUGGUAGGAAUUUAAACUUUCAUCAUACAGGAACUCAUCAUGCAAUAUUUUAAAGAUUUUUCAAAGAUAAAAUUCUCCAGAAUUCUAGCAUCUCUAGGAAGAGAUAAACAGCAGCUCAGCCUUCCGUUAACAACUUAGAUUUCAGAUCAAGGUUUCAUCCCACAAGUUUAGAUCUAGAGCAAGCUUUAAAUUAUAACAGUUAUGUCUAAACUUGAGAGAGAACUUCAAAUUUGCAAAUUAGGUAGAGCAACUAUUCAUCAUAUCCAUGCUAGAGUUUUAUUAUUAAGAUUCAGAUUAGCAUAGCCACUUUAUUUAUUAAACACACUAAGCAAAAGAUAUAUAUAUAUAAGCACAAAAUCUUUAUUUGGUUUUUCAUAGUUUAUGUAUUUUAAUAUUGUAAUAUAAUAUAAGUAUUAAGAUAGGUAGAAAUACUUAGCGAGAUAAAUGGGGGUGCUCUCCCCCAAGCUGAAUUUUGACGUAAUUUCUCUUGAUGUAGCUAGCAGGUGGCAGAGGUGUAUUUGAAAGUCAGCAGCAUUCUGACAGCGAUUAGAAUGUCCUCCGUCUGCUAGUCUUCUUGAUUCUUAAAUUCUGUGGAGCUCAAAUAGACAACAAAGCUUGUGGAACUAAUUAAGUGUUAGCAUAAAUAUCUAGCCUUCAUCAUGUUGAGCUUCCUCAAUAAAUAUUACUCUCUGUUUUUAUAUUUUUAUUUUAUAAAGCAGAAAAGAAAUAUUUAUUUUAUUUUUAUGCCACCACAGUGAAGGUACUUAUGGGUUUUAUGCCACUCGUAUACACACAUGGGGCUUAGUAUUUUUUAACAUUUUUAUUUUCUUUUCAAGAUAGCAUGAUUAACUAAUAAUCUAUUUAAGGAAAGUAAAUAAUUAAAGGGAAAAGGGAAUGCAGAAAGGAUAAAUAUGGAUAACUACCGAUCUUACCUUUCGGCGAGGGUUCAGUGUUUUAAUUCUUCUUAACAAGACUUCUCACCGUGUUCAUUCUUCAGGUGCGUCAUUUGAUUCAGGUGCGGACCUUGACGUAUGCACCUCUUUAUACGGUGUCACCCAUGUUCUUCGUUUGCCCAGCAGUUCGAAGUGCGGCGUUGGCAGUAACCUGCUCAGUGUGUUUGUGCUCGUAGAUCCAGGUCCUUCACUUGGUAGAGUCUGAGAGUUAUAAAACUCCUCCGUGUUUUGCUCAAAGUGUACCAGCUCAUAGAGACAAGGCAGAGAUCAAGUGCAUGGGUCCUGUUGGUGGAAAACACCAACAGAACCUAAAGUGUAUUUGUUCUUCUCUAACCCUAAGCAUAGUGAGCAAGACAAAGUUGAUGGAUGAAAAGUUCAUGAGUGUAGCACUUAUAACAUUUGUCAGAUCAGAUCGCUCAACCUUAUGGAAAGAUAAUCUAUCUAUGUAUAUGUCUUUUUCUUUAUAUCUCUCAAUGAUUGAAUGUGUAACUUUUUAGCUCAUAUGAUUAGGAAUGUGGGAUCAUAGAGGUAGUACUAAGAACAAGGAUUAAAGGACUAAACAUGUUGAAUCAGUUGGGUUGGUUAAUCUAGAGUUGUAAAUCAUACAUGUUUGUCUCUUUUAUUUAUAUGAACGCCAGAACCAAGGAGAAGCUUAUAAAAGUGAUAGUCAAGUACCUUAAGAUGUUAACUUGCUUGAAGAGUGAUGGUACAAUAUCACCUUGUGGAAGCUUUCCUUUCUUAGCGGUUGUGCAUCAUGUUUGUGGCACCCUCCAUGGAUCAUCACUCUAUGAUGAAUGAGCUAUGUCCUUCUUGUGCAAAUUGUUAAACUUCAUGUGUCACUCUCUUCGUCUCUGAUGUGAGUUUAUCUCCUGACUUCCCAAAUCGAUAUUGAAAGUUUUUUUUUUCUGCAGGGGUUAGUCCGACAAAAAUAUACCAAUGUCUACACAAGAAGUUUUUAGUUCAAUAACCGAACUAGACUCCAUGUCUAAUCAGAUUAAGGAAGGCUGUUUAACCUAAGCACUAUGCUUAAUUUAAAAGCCAAUAGAAGUAUGUGCAGUACUUCCAAACUAACACUUACUAGUAAAUAGACAAAGGUAGCAUGACAGCAUUUAUAGAGAUCUACUCAAGUGGAGAUGAAGUAGUGUCAUUAGUAUUUAACAAAUUGAGCAUGUCUUAAAGGUAGGGACAACCAACAUAGCCACAUGGCAAAGGAUGUUUUUAUGUAAAGUACUCCCCCAAGCUUGAAUUUUGCAGAAUUCAAGUUUGGAUGAAUUUAAUUCAAUGUUGUAUGAUGAUUGGUUGGACAUACCUUGUGCUUGUCAUUCAUCCGAUCUUCUUGCUCCAAUCCUGUAAAGGUUAGUGACAAGAAUACCCAAAGGAAUAUUUUUACAAUUAUCCUUAUAUGCUCAAUACACAAGGUAAUGUUGCAAUUAAAAACUCAUGUUACGAUUUGAUCAGUGCUUAUUUUAGGACACUAAGCUUGUCCUUGGGAAAUCAUCAAUUUAUGUCGGCGAAGUGGUUUCCCUUCCAACGCUGACCUAAAUCAAGAUCAACUCAACGAGAUCUGCAAUAUUUAUUAUAGACAUAUGCAUCGACAACCGCCCUUUUAAAGUUUUAUAAAUAGAAAGGAAGAGGGGGUUGGAGAUCACAAAUGUGGUGAUGUUGGAGAGACCAAUAGAUUGGGAAGAUGUUGCAUAUGAGCAUGGAGUAAACAAAGUGGCUAUGAAAUAAAUUCCAUGCUCAUUAAUGUUAUCUUCGUCUCCAAUCUGAAUGUUCAUAGUUUCUCUUGGAUUGGUCUCACUUAUGUCCUCUUCUAUAGUUGGAUGAAUCCCAUCUUCAAAGGGAGUCAAGAACUCACCAUUUGAAAUUGAGCCAAGGUCAGAACCCAUUAGGGCUUCUUCCUUAUCCAUCCAUUCUACACAUUCUAUCCAUUUAGAACUUGUGAUCAGGAAAGGGGAGGAGUUAGAAUUUUCAAUAUGGCUUAGCUCUCCUUCACUUGAUAUGUCAUCCUCGACUUCUUCAUAACAGGAACCAAGACAUUCUCUAGGAGAACCAUUAUUGUGAGGAUUUGAAUUAUCCCUGCUUGAAGGUCUCUUAUGGAACCAGAAGACUAAACCAUCAUCAUCUGAAAGAUUUAAGGUUGGAAUUCCUUCCUCCCUUGGAAAAUUUUGGGGUAUUGAUGGUUUAGGAUCGAUAGCUAAAGUUUGGAAUUGAAGUGGUUCUGAUCUGGCUAUCGAAACUUCUUCUUCUUGUCUAGGAACUGGUUCUGUCUCUUUCUCAGGGAUAUAAAAGCUAGGAGACUUUCCGCUCAUUAAAUGAAUCAAAUUCCAAGCUUCACUAGCGGAUAGGUGAUGGAAAGAUCCUCUAGAGGCCGCAUGAAGGGUUUGCUUAUUUUUCCUACUAAGGCCCUCAAAAAAGUGAAUUAGAAGAACUUCUUCUGGAAUAGAGAGCUUUGGGCCAGUGAGAGUAAGGUUAAUAAAGCGGUCCCAUGAUUUCCUAAGAGAUUCUUCUUCCAGUUGUCUAAAAGAAAUAAUCUCACGCCGAAGUUCCGCCACUUUGGAGAUUGGAAAAUAUUUAGAAACAAAACUACUAUAUAACUCCUUCCAAUCUCCAUGAACACUCCCUACUUUGAGUUUGUACCAAUGUCUAGCAUUUUCCGUUAAAGAGAACGGAAAGAGCUUCCAUUUGAGGGUCUCAUCGGACAUUCCUUCUAUGCGAAGGAGGUCACAGACUUGAUAAAACUCUCUUAGGUGUGUGUAUGGGUUUUCCUCACCAUCUCCUGAGAAAGGUUGUUUUUGAACAAAUUCUAUGUAUUCGGGGUCUAUCUCAAAACUAGAUGCUAUGAUAGGCUUUGAAGAUUUUGGUGGUUCGAGAUGUGUGCCCGUAGGUCUAUGAAAUUCAUAGAUAGACAUGUUUGAAUUCAUGAUAGACCAGAGAUCAAGGAUUAGAUAAGAAGAAAGAUUAGCAGAGAUGAGGCAAAGGAUAAAAGGAAAUUUUUUUUAUUUUUUUUUAGAAAAUGAUUAAGCUAGUUCGUAGUCAACUCAGCAACCGUUUCCCCGGCAACGGUGCCAAAAAUGCUUGUUGACACUUGUUAACACCACUUGAAUACUAGGUUGUCAUCCCCAGCAUGUCACUAGAGUGUACUAUGGUAUUUAUACGCACACAGAUAAUCCGCAAGCGCACGGAUACCGUUAUAGCUUUUACCCGGUUAAAGGUUUUAUCGUAUCCACAGGGAAAUGGGAGAACUGAUCUAUGCUCUAACUUAACCAAGAUAAGUAUAUAGGUGUAAAUAGGAAAAAUGGUAGAAUCGAAUAAGAACAAUAUUAAAGGUAAGAUAACAGUGAGUGAUAAUAUUGGAAUAGAGAAUAGAGCAAUUCUAGUAUAUGGGCGAUGGUAGGAGAAUAGAGAGAAUAACUAUGGUUUCUCUACUUCAAAGGGGUAUGUCUAUGUCUGGGACGAACCACGUGAUAAGAGUACAUCACAAAGGAUGCUUAUCCUUAGGCCGAUAAACCCUACCCAUCCUGCUAACGAGAGGUGGACUACAGAGGACCAACGUAACUGUCACCUACGCGGCCUACCACACGAUCCAGCUAGACAGGGGAUAUCCACAAGUAAUCUAGAUCUAAGCACCUCGCUUACACCUAUACUACAACUCUCACCUAUAGCGUCCUAUAGAUUAGAAGUACUCAAAAGAGUUGUGAACCAGAACAUACAUAAUUAGAAAUUGCAUAAUGAAUUAGAAGUAGAUUACCAUAGUCAUCCCAUGAGCAAGCUUGAUUAGAGCUUGAUCAUGACGAAGUACAACCAGAGGAAGAACCGACAAGCCUGCCUCUCCUCUAAUCCUCCUUCGCUCUCCAUCUUGCUACUAUCUAGAUCCACUCUAGUUUAGAGAAGAGAGGAGAGCUCUCAUCUCUAAACCCUAGCUUUUGCUCUGUCUAUUAAUAAUGAAUAAUGAUCAAGGGGUGCCUCCUCCAGGGGCCAGGGGGUCUGGUUAUGUAGUCCCCUCAAGUGAACGUGGGCCGUCAGAUCAAACCGACAUUGAUUGAAUGGUUAUUCUUGAUCCUUUAGGUCGGUGGAGAUCUCCCGAGAGAAAGAGUCCUGAUUGGGCUCCAAGUCAGGGCGGGCGCCCUGCCUCUGGCCCCGUUCGGCCUCCGCUUCCUUCCCUUGGCUUCUGGAGUCUUCUAAAUGUAAGAUAAUUGCACGGCAUGUUAAUAUCUCUAUGUAAUCCCGAUGUGUGGGCCUUUCUUCCAUAUUUCCUGAUAACCCCCUGCAGAAAUAGACAAACACCAAAACUCAUGGAAUUCUGUCAGAUAAAACCCUAAGUCUACAUGUUGAUUUCAUUUGGAUCCUUUUCAUUGUUUAUUUGAUAAUUAAAUUUGAUACAUAAGGAAGGUCAACAUUUGCUAUGGAUAAGGUUGAUACUACCCUCUUCACCAAGAAGAUUGGCAAAGACUUGUGUGUUGCAAAUCUAUGUUGAUGAUAUCAUAUUUGGAUCAACUAAUCAAGAUUAUUGUGAAGAGUUUGCAAAUAUAAUGUCAAAAGAGUUCGAGAUGUCUAUGCUUGCAGAGCUUAGUUACUUCUUUGGUCUUCAAAGCAAACAACUGAAGAGUGGCACAUUUGUGAGUCAAGGAAAGUACAUCAAGGACAUGCUCAAGAAGUUUGGCAUGGAAGAUGCAAAGUCCAUUAGUACACCAAUGGGAACAAAUGGUAGCUUGGACUAUGAUUUGAGUGGCCAUACCGUGGAUCAAAAGAUAUACUGGUCUAUGAUUGAAAGCCUACUCUAUGUGAUCGCAUCUAGAUCAGAUAUCAUGUUUAGUGUGUGCAUGUGUGCAAUAUUUCAAGCCUCACCAAGAGAAAGUCAUUUGAAGGCAACAGAAUAUUGAGGUACUUGAAACAUACACAAAAUGUUGGUUUAUGGUAUCCAAAAGGUGCAAAGUUUGAACUUAUUGGAUAUUCUGAAUUGGACUAUGCGAGAUGCAAAGUUGAAACAAGAAGCACAUCAGGCACAUGUCAACUAUUGGGAAGACCACUUGUCUCAUGGUCAUCUAAGAAGCAAAAUAGUAUUGCACUAUCAACCAUUGAAGUAGAGUACAUUGCGGCUGGUAGUUGUUGUGUACAAAUCCUAUGGAUGAAGGCAACCUUGAAAGACUUUUGAAUCAACUUCAAGCAUGUGCCAUUGCUAUGUGACAAUGAAAGUGACGUGAAGCUCACUAACAAUCUGGUUCAACGUCAAGAACAACGCACAUAGAUGUUCGCCAUCAUUUCAUAAGACAUCACCAACAAAAAGGGGACAUAUGCAUUGAGACCAUAGGCACCGAUAAUCAACUUGCCGAUAUAUUCACCAAGCCACUUGAUGAGAAGAGGUUUUGCAAGCUAAGGAAUGAAUUGAACAUACUGAAAGGUCCUAAUAUGGCUAGAGGGGGGUUGAAUAGCCUAUUUAAAAAUUCUACAAACUCACUAGAGCAAGAGGUUAGUAAAUGACAAAGCAAAGCUUUUUGCUCUAGCUCUAAAGGGGUGUUUGCAAGCAACCUAUCCAACAAUUCUAAUUAAUAUGAUCACUAGGCACACAAGAGCUAUGUCACUACAAGCUACACUAGUGAACUAUACUACACAAGGCAUAAUAAGAAACUAAACUAAUUACACUACUUUGCGGUAAGUAAAGGAUAGGAUGAGAAUUUUAUACCGCCGUGUAGGGGAUGAACCAAUCACCAAUAUAAAUAAUCAAGCACUGGGAGAAUGCCAAUCAAACACAAUUGAGACACUGAUAUUUCUCCUGAGGUUCACGUGCUUGCCGGCACACUACGUCCCUGUUGUGUCGACCAACACUUGGUGGUUCGGUGGAUAAGAGGUGUAGCACAAACCUCAUCCUCACUAGGACACUGCAAGAACCUACCCACAAGUGAGGUAGCUCAAUGACACAAGCACAUCACUAGAGUUACCUUUUGGCUCUCUACCGGGGAAGGUACAAACCCGCCACAAUCACCGGGAGAUGGCCACGAACAAUCACCAACUCAUGCCAAUGCUCCUCUGCUGCUCCAAGUCGUCUAGGUGGCGGCAACCACCAAGAGUAACAAGAAAACUGUAGCCAAAACAAUCCCUAAGUGCCACUAGAUGCAAUGACUCAAGCAAAUGCACUUGGAAUCACUCCCAAUCUCAUAAAGAUGUUUAAUCUAUGAAGGAGAUGAGUGGGAGGUGUUUGCUUAGGCUCACAAGGAUGUCAAGUAUACUAGAAUGCCAAGAGAGUGAGCCUCAAGCCGGCCAACACGUAUUUACAAGCCCCUCAAACAAAUAGAGCCGUUGGAUCUUUCACCGGGCAAAAUACGGGGCACCGGACUCGCUACAGGUGAGGCACCGGAUGCUGGAACAGAGCGUCUGGUGCUCCAAAAGCAGCCACAUGUUAGCUCUUUGAAUCUCACGCGUCGAACUCUAACGGUCACCUGCAAACCACCGGGCGCGCUCAAGUUCGCACCGGACGCAUCCGGUGAAGACUGAUCAGGUGUGCAGAGAGGUCUACAAACGCGUGGGGUCAAUAGACCCACACCACUGGACGCGCUCCAGAGCGUCUGGUGCUCUCAGUCAAAUUUUCUAUUGAAGUCAGGCCACACCGGACGCACACACAGGGUCUAGCCCGCAUCCGGUGCAUAACCCUAACACCACUAGAAGCAGACAGCACACCGGAUGCGCAGGCACUGCGUCCGGUGCCUCUGGGUCAGCGUGUGGUGAGUGUUUCUCACCAACAGUGCAAUGGAGAAUAUGCAUUUCAUUUUCUCAAAAGCGUCAAAUCCCUUCAAACUCCACCUCCUUCUCAAAGUGUGCCAACACCACAAAGUGUAAACCAACAUGUGCACGUGUGUUAGCAUUUUCACAAUCAUUUUCUUUGAAGGAGUUAACUUACCUCACUAGGAUCUAAAAGUAUGCACAUGAACAGUGACACCUAGUGGCACUCGAUAACUGCUUAGCCAAAGAAUUCCCCUCUUUAUAGUAUGGCUAUCUAUCGUAAAUGUGAUCGCACCCUCUAUGGUGUCUUGAUCACCAAAACCAAAACCCUAAGCAAUACCUUUUCCUUGAUCUCCAUAGGGUUUUGUUUUUCUCUUUCUUCUUUUCCAAGUUGAGCACUUGAUCAUCUUGUGAUCAUCACCAUCAUCACUAUGAUCAUCACUUGCUCCACCACUUGGCAUGUACCAACCUCAUUAAGUCUACACACAGUUAGUAUAGAGGUUAGUACUAGGGUUUCAUCAAUUAUCCAAAACCAAACUAGGACUUUCAAUCUCCCCCUUUAUGGUAAUUCAUGACAACCCUUUUACAAAGAUUUUCAAUAAAAUUUUCCUGUAUGCAUGUUGCUUGCCCAAGCAUUUUACCAUGUGCAAAGGUUAUGGACAAAUUUCAUAAACCCAAAUUGGUAGCAAUUGCUCCCCCUACAUAUUUGCUAAGAGUUUGGAUUUGAAAGCUCGCACAUAUGCUUGAAUAGGAAAUAUAGGAGUCAAUUUCUACCAAAUGAUGCUAAGGUGUAAAGAAUGGACAUUUGAAGCAUGAUACUAAUCGGAGUUGCCAAUGUAUACCAUCCUUAGCACCAUUAGUAACUAGACAUUCACAAAACUAGAACACCGCGUGAGAUCAACAUUACUGUUGGGUAUUUUAAACGCAAACAGAAAAAUCCGCAAGCGCACGGAUACCGAUGUAGCCUUCACCCGGGAGUAUUCCAGAGUAUCGAUUUUCCACAGGGAACGUGAGUGUACUAAUUAAGAUCCAAGAUCGCCCAAGGAUAACUAUAUUUUUUUGUGGGAAGAGAGGAAGUUUCCUGAGAGUUCUCUAGUUGAUCUAAGAAUCAAGAAUUACUUCAAGAUUAUCUAUAUCGGGACAUCAGAGCACUAACCACAGAAAGAGAUGAGAAGGGGGCUAGGAAGGUCUGACUACGGUCCUACAAACACCGAUCCGAACGUGGUGGAAUACGUCGACCGUUAGGGCUGUCACUACCCUAGGGCUACCACAACAAUCCGUAGGAUUGGGUGCAAUUCCAGGUAAUUGCAAGACUAAACACCACGUCUAAUCUAUUAAUUACUACUCUAGCGUUAUAAAGACUAGAGCACUUGAUGCAAGCGGGAAUCCAAUAAAUAACUUGAAUGUAAAUAAAAGUAAUUAGAGAACUCAGGAAUUAUGAAUUGAAGAACCUGGAGAACGAUGAAGAACGAACCAGAUGCUGCAAAAGUAUAAUGUUGAGGAAGAUCCGACAGAUCCGGGUCCUCCUCCGCUCUCCUCUUCUCUCUCCCUAUUUUCUAGAUUACAACUAGAACUAACUAGAACUAGAACUAGCGAAACUAGAACUAGAACUAGAUGAACUAGAACUAGAUCUAGAUGAACUAGAGGUAGAACUAGAAGAACUAGAGGGAUCCUCUCUACUUGGAUGAAGAAUUGAAACCCUAACUUUGAUUCUGUAGAAGAGGUAUGAUCUCCAGGGGCUAGGGGGUUUGGUUUUAUAGUCCCUUCAAGUGAAUCUGGGCCGUCGGAUCAAACCGACAUUGAUCGUGUGGUUUUCCUUGAAGUAUUAGGUCGGUGGAGCAUGAUCCCCGAACUUCACCCUGAUUGGUCCAGGGGGGAGGGCGGGCGCCCUCAGGACUAGGGCGGGCGCCCUGUCCCUGAGGCCUCUCGGCUUCCGCUUCGGUCCCGUGGCUUCUGGAGUCUUCUAGAUGAUAGAAAAUUGCGCAGCACGUUAAUAUAUCUAUGUAAACCCGACGUGUGGGCCUUUCCUCCAUAUUUCCUAAUAACCCCCUGCAGAAAUAGACAAACACCAAAACUCGUGGAAUUCUGUCAGAUAAAACCCUAAGUCUAGGUGUUGGUUGCAUUUGGAUCCUUUUCUAUGAUUAAUUGAUGGUUAAAUAUGUGCAUUAAGGACCGUCAACAAGCUCCCCCAAGCUUAACCUUUGCUCGUCCCUGAGCAAAGAUGAACUCAAGAGUUUCUGCAGUGGUUUCAUAACUUAAAGAUACACAUGCGUUUAAACAAGAUCUCAUCUCUGGUUAGAGUAAACUGUUAAGACUUAAAACUUACUCAUUUACCUUUCACCAUGGGACUUGUAACCGUCACUUCUGUCUUGAGUAGUUAAAAGAUAGAACAGUCUAGUCAAGCACCAUGUCUCUUGUUCUUCGAUUAACUAUAGCUCUGGAGUUUUUGCAGAUUUUCAAAUAAAACUCAGAGAUUCCUUGUAUGACUCUCUCUAGUCUCUCUUUUGUGGUAUUUCUGGAUCCUUACCAAGGCAGUAAUGGUGUAUGCCUUCUCUCAAAGUAUGUGGUAUUUGUGGUAUAAGGCAUAGUGGCAUUGCCUUCUCUCUCACCCUACUCUAAUAAGGCUUUUGAUAUCUGGAGCUCAUAGGUGGGAGACAGCUAAUACAUACUUACAAGACAUUUAUUGCAUAGUCAAACCUUGGAUCCAGAAGAACAAGUCAAUAAGUCAAAUCAAGAUGUGCAUGUGUGGCGAAUGAAUGAUGCAUGGUAAUGAUGGUGAUAACAAUGGUGAAAGUCUAAUUUUACUUAUGCUCUUUUGAGGGGAUACAUACCUUUCUUGCUCUUUUGAAACUUUUUGAGGAGAAUGAGAUGCUCUAUAUUUCUUUUUUCUUUUCUCUCAGGUGGGUAACUUGUACCCCUAAUUCUACUGUCAGACACUUGUCCAUUUUUACCUCUCGUCUCACUUCUUUUUUUUUCUUUUCUUUCGAGGUUCCGGGCACCUGACCCUUUUUAUUUCCUCGUAUCUUUUUUUUUCUCUUUUUUUUUCUUUUUUUUAGAGCACUCAUCUCCUGAAAUAAUAUAGCAAGUGGUAGUAACCAAGAUAACUUGAGCAUUUAUUUCACAGGGGAAAACAGAAAUAGGAUAAUGUUUUUAGCUAUUCUCUCCCAGAUUAGGAGUAGAAUAUUUUUGGAUGGUUUUGGAGAUGGAAAUGAGUGGAUGUAUGUGGAUGCGUACUUCCAGAGUAGAAGCAGCAUGUAUGAGUGAACGUGCAAGUGAAUCUUGAUUUUAACCACAUGACAAGCUCCUAAGGGUCUACACAGCUUGACCACACUCAAUGCUCAUAAGCAAUAAAAAGUAAAUGUGUGGCUCAAAGUCUAGCAAGCAUGUAUAUAUGGUUGUGGUAGGAAUUUAAACUCUCAUCAUACAGGAACUCAUCAUGUGAUAUUUUAAAGAUUUUCAAAGAUAAAAUUCUCCAGAAUUAUAGCAUCUCUAGGAACAGAUAAACAGCAGCUCAACCUUCCCAUAUCAUAUCCGUUAACGACUUAGACUUCAGAUCAAGUACUCUUCUCACAAGUUCAGGUUUAGAGCAAAUCUUAAUUAAUAACAGUGAUGCCUAAACUUGAGAGAGAUUUCAAUUUUGAGAACUAGUCAUGGCAGAGCAACUAUUCAUCUUUUCAUGUGAGAGCUUAUCAUAAGGGUUCAUAGCAAAUUUUUAUUUAUUUAUUUAUUUAGCAAACUAAGCAAAGAUAUAUAUAUAAGCACAAAAUCUUUAUUUGGGUUUUUAUGAUUAUGCAUCUUUUUAUUAUUUGAGUAAAAUAUAAACGUGAGUAGAAUACUUAGCUGGAUAAAUGGAGGUGCUCUACCCCAAGCUGGAUUUUGACGUAAUUCCUUUUGAUGUAGCAGGUGGCGGAGGUGUAUUUGAAUGUCGGCAGCACCCUGACAUUGAUUAGGAUGUCCUCCGUCUACUAGUCUUCUUUGAUCCUUUAAUUCUGUGGAGCUCAAAUAGACAACAAAGCUUUGUGGAACUAGUUAAGUGUUAGCAUAAAUAUCUAGCCUUUAUCAUGUUGAGCCUCCUCAAUAAAUGUUACUCUCUUUAGUAGGAUCAUAAAUUUAUUUUUAUAUUUUCAUUUUUAUAGGACAGGAAUAUAUAUAUUUAUUUUUACGCCACCACAGUGAAUGUACUUAUGGGUUUUAUGCCAUGAGCAUACUCACAUGGGGCUUACUAUUUUUAACAUUUUUAUUUUCUUUUCAAGAUAGCAUGAACCUGAUUAACUAAGCAAACUAUUUUAAAUAAUUGAAAGGGAAAAGAUAGCUACCAAGUUUACCUCUUGGCAAGGCGUUUGGUGUUUUUUUAAGUCCUCCGAACGGGACUCUCCGUUUUCUCAGUCGUCCUAGGAUUCGCUGGAUGGCGUAGUAGGUAGUUCCGGCGGUGCCUCCUCUUCAUGUAUAACUAUCUUCUCUCUGCACACCUGACUCGGUGCUACGGUCUCCUCAGGACAGUUCUGUUCAAGCUGUAUGUCUUCAGACCUUACGACUUCUCCUUCAUAGUCUGCCCAUCCGUCCUUGAUGAUUUGCCUCCUCUGGUUGCGGUUGCGUCGUCUUCUUCUUGUCCUGACCUGCUUAGAGUCUUCAACUAUAUAGUUAAGGUAAGUAAAAUAACGGCGUACCUUCUCAGAGGGGAAGUGCAUGUGGACUUCUCCGGUUCCAAUGUUGAUGAUUGCUUUAACGGUGCUGAGGAGCGGCCUCUCAAGGAUGAUGGGUGGAUCGUACUCGUCUUCUCCCAUGUCAAUAACCUUCAAUCUUUCAGAAUGUCUGAUCUGCCAUCUAGACCUGAAUGUAUGUUGGUUGUAGGGACAUGGUUCCAUGCAGGAGCUGAUAAGUGACUGCGGCCAUUAUAUUGACGUUAGAUCUGGUGUCGUAGAGUGUCUUCUGAAAAGAAUAUCCAUUGAUUGUGCACUCGAUGCUUGGGACACCAGGGUCGUUCUUCUUGAUCAAGAAAGGUGACUUGAGUUGACAAUCUUGACCUCCUUGAGCUGCAGUGACCAUCUUAGCUGACUCAGUCCACAAUUGCUUGUUCCUGUUCCUCCUGUUGGUCCUUUCCUUGGUUCAUGUCAGGAUUGCUCUGAGAUUUGUGCAGUUUUGUUCUUGAAGGAAAACGUCUCCUUCGUCCCCUUGAUGUAGAAACUGAUCUUGGCAGCACUAGCAUGGAUAACCGCUCCUGAGGUGUUCAGGAAUGACCUCCCUAGAAUGAUGGGUGCCCUCUCAUCAGUGUCAGUCUCUAUCGCCAUGAAGUCUACUGGGGCGUACAAGGUACCAACUCGUAUGCAGAGGUUCUUCAAUAUUCCUUUUGGGAAACUUAGUGUACGAUCUGCAAGCUACAAACCCAUGGUUGUUUCUGAUAAAGGAUGUGUAAAGAAUUUUUCAUAGAGUACCCGGAGCAUAAGGUUGACGCUGGAGCCAAAGUCGCAGAGUGCUUCUAGGAAGUCCACCAUGCCGAUGGAGAUCGGGAUGACGGGGCGUCCUGGGUUGUCUCUCUUGACCGGCAGAAGGUCAGUAAUUACUUCCACAACGGGGUUACUCCAGUAGUUACGUCCUCAAGCAUCUCAGGGCAGUGAUUGCCUGAGUGUCCAGUAUCUCUAGUGUGUUUGUGCUCGUAGAUCUAGGUUCUUCACUUGGUGGAGUCUGGGAGUUGUAAAAGUCCGUCAUAUUUUGCUCGAAGUGUACCUGCUCAUAGAGACAAGGCAGAGAUCAAGUGCAUGGGCCCUGUUGGUGGAAAUCACCAACAGAACCAAAGUGUAUUCGUUCUCUCUAACCUUAAGCAUAGUGAGCAAGACAAAGUUGAUAGAUAAUAAGAUCAUGAAUGUAGCAUUUAAAACAUUUGUCAGAUCAGAUCGCUCAACCUAAUGGAAAGAUAAUCUAUCUAUAUAUAUGUUUUGUUUAUAUCUUCCAAAGAUUGAGUGUGCAACAUUUUAGCUUAUAUGAUUAGGAGUAUGGGAUCACAAAGGUGGAAGGACUAAAUAUGUUGAAUCGAUUAGGUUGGUUAAUCUAGAGUUGUAAAUCUUACAUGUUUGUCUCUUUUACUCAUGUGAAUGCCAAAAAUAAGGAGAAGCUUAUAGAAGUGAUAGUCAAGUACCUUAAGAUGUUACCUUACUUGAAGAGUGAUGGUACAGUAUCACCUUGUGGAAGCUUUCCUUUCUUAGCGGUUGUGCAUCAUGUUUGUGGCACCCCCCAUCGAUCAUCUCUUGUGAGGUAUGCCUUCCUUGUGUAAAUUGUUAAACUUCAUGUGUGUCUCUCCUUGUCUCCAAUGUGAGUUUAUCUCAGGACUUCCCAGGUCGAUAUUUAAAGUUUUUCUGCAGGGGUUAGUCCAACAAAAUAUCCAAUAUCUACUAUAGCAUACUAUUGGUUCAAAAAUCAACCUAGACACCAUGUCUAAUUUGAUUUAGGAGGGCAUUUUAACCUAAGCACCAUGCUUAAUUUAAACUCCCUUGGAAGUAAGAUCAUCAUUCCUAAACUAAGCACCAUGCUUAAUUAAGAGAUAAAUGAAACUACUCCAAACCUAGACAUAUACUAAAGCAAAUAAAGGUGGUAUGAGAGCAUUUAUAGAGAUCUACUCAAGUGGAGAUGAAGUAGUGUGAUUAGUAUUUAACAAAUUGAGCAUGUCUCAAAGGUAGGGACAACCAACAUAGCAAUAUGGCAAAUGAUGUUUUUAUGUAAAGUACUCCCCCAAGCUUGAAUUUUUGCAGAAUUCAAGUUUGGAUGAAUUUAAUUCAAUGUUGUAUGAUGAUUGGUUGGACAUACCUUGUGCUUGUCAUUCAUCCGAUCUUCUUGCUCCAAUCCUGGAAAGGUUAGUGACAAGAAUACCCGAAGGAAUAUUUUUACAAUUAUCCUAAUAUGCUCAACACACAAGGUAAUGUUGCAAAUAAUUAAAAGCUCAUGUUAUGAUCUAAUUAGUGCUUGUUUUAGGACACUAAGCUUGUCCUUGGGAAACCAUCAAUUUAUGUCGGCGAAGUGGUUUCCCCUCCAACGCUGACCUAUAUCAAGAUCAACUCAACGAGAUCUGCAAUAUUUCUUAUAGACAUAUGCAUCGACAACCGUCCUUUUAAAGUUUUUAUAAAUAGAAAGGAUGAGGGGGUUGGAGAUCUCGAAUGUGGUGAUGUUGGAGAGACCAAUAGAUUGUGAAGAUGUUGCAUAUGAGCAUGGAGUAAAUGAAGUGGCUAUGAAAUAAAUUCCAUGCGAAUUAAUGCUUAGAGUGAAAUCCAUGUGGUGUGGUGAAAAUGGUAAGGUGAGUGUGGUAUAAAAGGAAAAGAAAAAGGAUACACGGACGACUUGGUUCGAAACUAGUACAGCUACCGUUCCCCGGCAACGGCGCCAGAAAGCUUGUUGGGUAUUUUAAACGCAAACAGAAAAAUCCGCAAGCGCACGGAUACCGAUGUAGCCUUCACCCGGGAGUAUUCCAGAGUAUCGAUUUUCCACAGGGAACGUGAGUGUACUAAUUAAGAUCCAAGAUCGCCCAAGGAUAAAUAUAUAAUUAUUUUUUGUGGGAAGAGAGGAAGUUUCCUGAGAGUUCUCUAGUUGAUCUAAGAAUCAAGAAUUACUUCAAGAUUAUCUAUAUCGGGACAUCAGAGCACUAACCAUAGAAAGAGAUGAGAAGGGGGCUACGAAGGUCUGACUACGGUCCUACAAACACCGAUCCGAACGUGGUGGAAUACGUCGACCGUUAGGGCUAUCACUACCCUAGGGCUACCACAACAAUCCGUAGGAUUGGGUGCAAUUCCAGGUAAUUGCAAGACUAAACACCACGUCUAAUCUAUUAAUUACUACUCUAGCGUUAUAAAGACUAGAGCACUUGAUGCAAGCGGGAAUCCAAUAAAUAACUUGAAUGUAAAUAAAAGUAAUUAGAGAACUCAGGAAUUAUGAAUUGAAGAACCUGGAGAACGAUGAAGAAUGAACCAGAUGCUGCAAAAGUAUAAUGUUGAGGAAGAUCCGACAGAUCCGGCUCCUCCUCCGCUCUCCUCUUCUCUCUCCCUAUUUUCUAGAUUACAACUAGAACUAACUAGAACUAGAACUAGAGGAACUAGAACUAGAACUAGAUGAACUAGAACUAGAUCUAGAUGAACUAGAGGUAGAACUAGAAGAACUAGAGGGAUCCUCUCUACUUGGAUGAAGAAUUGAAACCCUAACUUUGAUUCUGUAGAAGAGGUAUGAUCUCCAGGGGCCAAGGGGUUUGGUUUUAUAGUCCUUUCAAGUGAAUCUGGGCCGUCGGAUCAAACCGACAUUGAUCGUGUGGUUUUCCUUGAAGUAUUAGGUCGGUGGAGCAUGAUCCCCGAACUUCACCCUGAUUGGUCCAGGGGGGAGGGCGGGCGCCCUCAGGACUAGGGCGGGCGCCCUGUCCCUGAGGCCUCUCGGCUUCCGCUUCGGUCCCGUGGCUUCUGGAGUCUUCUAGAUGAUAGAAAAUUGCGCAGCACGUUAAUAUCUCUAUGUAAACCCGACGUGUGGGCCUUUCCUCCAUAUUUCCUGAUAACCCCCUGCAGAAAUAGACAAACACCAAAACUCGUGGAAUUCUGUCACAUAAAACCCUAAGUCUAGGUGUUGGUUGCAUUUGGAUCCUUUUCUAUGAUUAAUUGAUGGUUAAAUAUGUGCAUUAAGGACCGUCAACAAUUACAAACAAGGUUCUAGCACCAUUUGUGAAACAACUAAAGGUCUAGUUAUUCUAUCUAUGCAUGCUAGUUCUUCAUUUCAUUAAUCAAACUUACAACUAGCAUACACCACACAAGCAAGGCAAUGAAGAGAAAACUUCUAAAGCUAAUGCAAAUGCAAGCAGACAUAUGUGAUGCACAUUCAAAUGCAACAUACAAGUUUAUGAGCUUGCUCCCCCUACUUGUGUGCUUCAAAAUUUUGAUUGAUCUCCUUCUUUUAUCAUGUUAUUCCCCUAUCUUUGUACUUCUCCCCUUUUAGCAAAUUUUUGGGAAAUUCUCUCCCCCUUUGUCAUCAAAGACCACAAAAGUUGAGCUCAAAUUUUAGAUUGGUUAGUGUGAAACCAUGUAAAGUGAGAUCAUUUUCCCAAAUUGGUUCAAUCUAGAUUACUUGCCUAAGAUAUUUAACCUCUAUGAUACCUUGCUUGUGUGGUGUAUCCUAGUUGUAGGUUUCAUUGAUGAAAUAAAGAACUAGCAUGCAUGGGUAGUGUAACUAGACUUUUAGUUGUUUCACAAGUGGUACUUGAACAUCAUUUAAAUGUUGAUCGCAUGGGGUGUUCUAGUUUUGUGAAUGUCUAGUUACUAAUGGUGCUAAGGAUGGUGUAUAUUGGCAACUCCAAUUGGUAUCAUGCUUCAAAGGUCCAUUCUUUAUACCUUAGCAUCAUUUGGUAGAAAUUGACUCCUAUAUUUCCUAUUCUAGCAUAUGUGCAAGCUUUCAAAUCCAAACUCUUAGCACAUAUGUAACCUAAGCACCAUGCUUAAGUUAAAAAGCCUUAAAAAGUAUGUAUAUACAAUACUACCAAACUAAAACAUAUUAGCACAAAUGGAAAGAAAAAUGAAAGGCACAAAACUUUUGGCACAUUUUUAUUACUCAAGGUGACAAGAAAUUAAAAGCAUAGGCUAUGAUUAUGAACAGACACAAAGCAUGACUAAAAAUCUAAGCAUUGCCAUGUUAGCAAAACUUAAACAAGUUCAAUCAAUUAUUCAUAUGUUCACGCUCAUAAGAUUGAGGGUAAUAAAGAAACAUUAAGCACAUACCUUAGGAAUUUUACCUUUGUCACGUGAAGCUUGAGGAUGACCUUGGAUGGAUCAUGAUCGAUUUAAAGCUUCUUAUUCUCACUAUUGAAUUGCACAUUUGCAUCUUGUCUUUUUUUGAAUUCCUUCUUCUUGAUGUCACCCAUGACUUGCUUGCUCAGUCUUGAGUCAUAAUUUUGAAAUCUACUACAAACACUAGUGCAAGGUGAUACUACAAACCUGAUCGGUGUGCAAGCACAUUGGCCUGUGCAACAAUCUAGCUCAAUUUAGGUUGGCACCAUUUUAUUCAAAAGGGAAAACACUACUAAUACUAUGAUAGGCACUAAACUACUAUUACGAUGGACACUAAAUGAACUAAGAAAGGAAAUAAAUGGGUUAUGUCCUAGUAGUGCUUUGUUUUAAGUUAUAAGCUCGACCCUUGCAGUUGGACUGCAAAAACUUGUGCCUAGGCAAUUACGAGCUUUGGAAUGCUUAUGGUAAACAAAAGCAUCAUUAACCAUCCUUUCAAAGGGUUAAUGAAGGAGAGACAUAGGAUGGUUGCGACUCUCGUAAAUGCUAGUAAAAGUAGGAAAGAAAGAUUCUAGCAAUUUCUCAUAAAAUUGUGGAUCAGGUGGCUCUUCGAAAAUAUAACUUAUAUGCUCGUCCACCUGAUUCUCCUUACUGAACUCCAAAAAUGAUUCCUCAAGAAUGUCAAUAAACCAAACGUCUUCAUACAUCAUCUCCUAUCUAUGAUACUCUAGGAAUGGAUUUUCAUCCUCAUCCUCCAUUAAGAUGGGGAUCCAUUUCAACGGCGACUCUCCUUCCAUUUUGACAUCAACCAGAGGAUUUGGAUUGUAUCCUUGGUUUGAAUGGUCAAAUAGAUAAGGAGGGUCAUAUGGAGGAUCAAGACCUAUGGUGGUGGAUGAUAUUGAUUUGAGGGACUCUUGGACACCCAAAUCAUAUGAUGGAUAGUGAAGAUAAUGAUUUGGAGUCAAGGAUGCUAGAGAUCCUUGUUGGAUUGGAUGAUUUAAGGUGUUUUCAUCAUUAGAUGAGAUAUCCUCCUCAAAUUCUAUAGGAAAUUCCAAAGGACCACUGUUGACGGUGUUAAGUACCAAAUUUAAUUAUCAAAUAAACAAAUAAAAGGAUCCAAAUGCAACCAACACCCAGACUUAGGGUUUUAUCUGACAGAAUUCCACAAGUUUUGGUCUUUGUCUAUUUUUGCAGGGGGUCAUCAGGAAAUAUGGAGGAAAGGACCACAUGUCGGGUUUACAUAGAGAUAUUAACGUGCCGCGCAAUUUUCUAUCAUCUAGAAGACUCCAGAAGCCACGGGAACGAACGCGAAGCCGAGCGGGCCCGGGGGCAGGGCGCCCACCCUCCCCCCUAGGGCGCUAGCCCAAUCAUGUGGACCAAUCAGGCUCCGCCUCGCGGAUCAUGCUCCACCAACCUAAGGGAUUAACGAAAACCGUGCGAUUAAGGUCGGUUUGAUCCGAUAGCCCACAUUCAUUUGGAGAGGCUAUAUAAGCAGGCCCCCUGGCCCCUGGAGGAGGCACCCCCUUGAUCCCUAUUCAUUAUUCAUAAACAAAGCAAAAGCUAGGGUUUGGAGAUGAGAGCUCUCCUCUCAUCUCUAAACUAGAGUAGAUCUAGAUAGUAGCGAGAUGGAGAGCGAGGGAGGAUUGGAGGAGAGGCCGGCCUAACGGUUCUUCCUCUGGUUGUACUUCGCCAUGAUCAAGCUCUAAUCAAGAUUGCUCAUGGGAUGACUUUGGUAAUCUACUUCUAUUUCAUUAUGCAAUUACUAUCCAUGUAUGUUCUAGUUCACAACUCUUUUGAGUACUUUAAUCUAUAGGACGCUAUAGGUGAGAGUUGUAGUAUAGGUGUAAGCAUGGUGCUUAGACCUAGAUUACUUGUGGAUAUCCCCUGUCUAGCUGGAUCGUGUGGUAGGCCGCGUGGGUGACAGCUACGUUGGUUCUCUGUAGUCCACCUCCCGUUAGCAGGACUGGUAGGGUUUAUCGGCCUAUGGAUAAGCAUCCUUUGUGGUGUAAUCUUAUCACGUGGUUCGUCCCAGACAUAGACAUACCCCUUUGAAGUAGAGAAACCAUAGUUAUCCUCUCUAUUCUCCUACCAUCGCCCAUAUCCUAGAUUGCUCUACUCUUUAUUCCCAUAUUAUCACCCAUUGUUAUCUUACCUUUAAUAUUGCUCUUAUUCAAUUCUACCAUCUUUCCUAUUUACACCUACCUAUCUAUCUAGGUUAAGUUAGAGCAUAGAUCAGUUCUCCCGUUUCCCUAUGGAUACGAUAAAACCUUUAACCGGGUAAAAGCUACAACAGUAUCCGUGCACUUGUAGAUUUAUCUGUGUGCGUAUAAAUAACAUAGUACACUCUAGUGCCAUGCUGGGGAUGACAACCUAGUAUUCAAGUGGUGUUACAAAGUGUCAACAAGCUAUUUGGCGCCGUUGCCGGGGAAACGGUUGCUGAGUUGACUACGAAAUAGCUUAAUCAUUUUUCUAAAAAUAAAAAAAAUAAUAAUAUAUUUUUCUUAUCUAAUCCUUGAUCUCUGGUCUAUCAUGAAUGCAAACAUGUCUAUCUAUCAGUUUCAUAGACCUACGGGCACACACCUCGAACCACCAAAAUCUUCAAAGCCUAUCAUGACAUCUAGUUUUGAGAUAAGCCCGGAAUACAUAGAAUUUCUUCAAAAACAUCCUUUCUCAGGAGAAGGUGAGGAAAACCCAAACACACACCUAAGAGAGUUUUAUCGAGUCUGUGACCUCCUUCGCAUUGAAGGCAUGUCUGAUGAGACCCUUAAUGGAAGCUCUUUCCGUUCUCUUUAACGGGAAAAGCUAGAUAUUGGUACAAACUCAACAUAGGAAGUGCUCAUAGAGAUUGGAAAGAGCUAUACAAUAGUUUUCUCUCUAAAUAUUUUCCAAUCUCCAAAGUGGCGGAUCUUCGGCUCGAGAUUCUUUCUUUUAGACAAUUAGAAGAAGAAUCUCUUGGUGAAUCAUGGGACCGCUUUAUUGACCUUACUCUCACUUGCCCAAAGCUUUAUAUUCCAGAAGAAGUUCUUCUAAUUCACUUUUUAAGGGCCUUAGUAGGGAAAAUAAGCAAACCUUUCAUGCGGCCUCUGGAGGAUCUUUCCACCACCUGUCAGCUAGUGAAGCUUGGAAUUUGAUUGAUUUAAUGAGCGGAAAGUCUCCUAGCAUUUAUAUCCCUGAGAAAGAGAAAGAAUCAGUUCCUAGACAAGAAGUGGAAGUUUUGAUAGUGAAAUUACAACCACUUCAAUCCCAAACUUUAGCUAUCAAUUCUAAACCAUCAAUACCCCAAAAUUCUCCAAGGGAGGAAGGAAUUCCGACCUGAAAUCUUUCAGAUGCUGAUGGUUUAGACUUCUAUUUCCAUAAGAGACCUUCAAGCAGGGAUAAUUCAAAUCCUUACAAUAAUAGUUCUCUUAGAGAAUGUCCUGGUUCCUGUUAUGAAGAAGUCGAGGAUGACAUAUCAAGUGAAGGAGAGCUAAACCAUAUAGAAAAUUCUAUCUGAUCCCCUUCCAUGUUCACAAAUUAUAAAUCCAUCCUUGACCUUAGAGACCCCUCUUACCCCUCUCCUUUUUAGUCUCAUGAUGAUCCUAGCAAUCCAUCAAAAUGAUCAUACCAUAGGAGUCAUAAAGACCAUGAGGAUGACAUGUUAAGUAAUGCCAUAGAAGGAGAGCUAAGCCAUAUAGAAGAUUCUAUCAGCUCCAUUGUCUUGAUCACAAAUUCGAAAUGGCUGGAAUGUGUAGAAUGGAAGGACAAGAUAGAAGCCUUAACGGAUUCUGACCUUGGCUCAAUUUCAGAUGUUGAGUCUUUAACUCCCCUCGAAUAUGAGAUUCACCCUUCUAUAGAAGAGGACAUAGACGGGACCAAUCCAAGAGAAACUCUGAACAUUUAGAUUAGAGACGAAGAUAACAUCAAUGAGCAUGGAAUUUAUUUCAUAGCCACUUAGUUUACUCCAUGCACAUAUGAAACAUCUUCCCAAUAUAUUGGUCUCUCCAACAUCACCACAUUUGAGAUCUCCAACCCCCUCUUCCUUUUUAUUUAUAAAAACUUUAAAAUGGCGGUUGUCAAUGCAUAUGUCUAUAACAAAUAUUGCAGAUCUCGUUGAGCUAAUCUUGAUAUACAAAGGUUGGCGUCUAUAACAGAACCGCCCAAAUUAUAAGAGAUUAAGCCAAGGGUGACCAUUUGCACAGUCGAACCAUCGAGCUUAAGCCCAGAUAAUCCCGGUAGUCCGUGAAAUCUCGAGGGAUUUCAAACCACAAAUCAUACAUACAGCCAAGAUCGUAAUAAGUUCAGCGGUCACCAUUCACAAUUACAUCCAGUUCGCAUCAUUCAUCACAUUCAUCAGAGUUACUUAAAGUUGUUACAAACCAAGUUCUCAAGUAGCGAAAGCUUCAUAGUCACACACACAUUUAGUCUGAUACAGUGCCAUAGUUGAUCAUUCCCACAAAAGCAAAAGAGGAGGUAGAGUGACCAUCGCUCUUGGCCUAGUCAUCACCUAUUGCUGGGUACAAGCAGAGAAUGCAAUAACCAUAGUACAUCUGCCCAUCUGCAAAUCAACAUGGGAAUAGAACCCUGAGUACGAGAAUGUACUCAGCUAGACUUACCCGUCAUAAACCAAAAAUAAAGACUCUUCAAGGAUCAUGAAGGCUGUAUAGUGGGGUAGCUGAGACUUUUUGCGUAAAAGCACUACUCAACUAGAAGUACAUCCUAACAGUACUCCCUCUUCUUUUAGUUAGCUCAGGUUAGGUACUAUUACGUAUCAUCUAGAUUUGCACCUGUACUAUUCCAAACAAGUGUGGCGAUAUGAUGGUACCUCAUCAUAGCAUUCAUAAAUCAUUUAUCAUCAUAACCCAAGUGUUCCAUAGUCCUUACUACGAGGACAGGGCUCAUGUCAAGUGCUCACUAUCCAGGAGCGAUGGCGAUUCGAAUCGAUUUCUGACCAGCUGGGGAGUUUAUUCCCCACACAAACCACACUCACUGAUCAAGUGAGCUACAAAUCACCGUAUUGCACUAUCCAGGACCAAUUUGCGGGUUCGACAGGCACCGCCCGUACCAGAGGACCGUUCCGGCGACCGAGGUAUCCAAGGUGUACCAAGGUUGCGCGCCGCGCCCUCAUCGUUCUCCUCAACCAUCACCAAUACAGCGUGUACAUCGGGCCGAUUCCCGGCCCGGAUAGUGCUCAGGCUUCGCGAUCGGAACGACUUACCCUUCCAGCUAAGUGUGAGGCAUGCGUUCAACAUGAUAAGAGGGCCGUCAACAAUCGGUCCUUAACCGACACAAGCAGGGGCACUACGAUCAACCCCACCACAAGACCCUGCCCAGUCUCAAGUUCAAUCCCACACUUGGUUGCUUCCCUCUUAGCAUUGACAGCUAAUCAAACAGGUGUCCACCCAUAUCUUGCAGGUGACAGGAAAUCACCGGACUUCUACUGUACUAAGCAAGCUAAGCAUAGACUCCGAGCCUGUCUACAUAGGACAAGGUAGAUAAAUAAGGUGUGAUAUCAAGGAGUAAGUAUGCAUGAACGGUAUCAAGUAAUUCCUAUCACUUAAAUGCAACAUAGUAAAACCAGCAUAAUAUACUAAUUAAGUUAGCGAGAAUAGGGAGACUUAGAAUGCUCUGGGGCUUGCCUUUCUCAAACGUGCUCGGCUUGUGGUCCGGGCACUCUUGCAGCUCUUCUCCUGGCUCUGGUCCUCCUUGAAGUUCCAGCUCUAGGGUUUCCACCUGCUCCUCGGGUCCCACUUCGUUUUCCUGCGAGCCUGUAUGAUGCAUGUGCGCUUAUGAGUGUAGUGCAAGAUGCCCGGGGUGCAAUGCUUAUGCAAGUGGGUAUCAGAAGACCAUGACAUGGAGCAUAGAUGACAUAGGUGGUUAUUUCUACAAGGUAGUCAACGUCAUCCAAGAACAUGUACUCAGAUUAAGCAUCUAUUGCAUUCUCUUCUACAAGUUGCCUUUAUGGUUAACCAGCAAGAUAACAUGAUGCUUCAAAGAUACACCAAACACCCUUUUAUUCCAUUUAAUUUAUGCAUAACCAUUCAUAAUUUAUUUUAAUUAUUAUUGGACCUACAAUCGUAGCAUAUGUUUCUUUUUAUCAAUAAAUUCCACAAAAAAUACAGUAGAUCACUGGUCAAUCAUAAAGUCUACCAUAAUUUUUUCAUAAUAUUUGGACACUUAUUUUGGGCUACAUAAAUUACAAGAUUAUUCAAUAUAAUUAAGUACAAAUACCCUACUAUUGACCAAGUGUCAAACAACAGAUUUCAUAUUUUUAUAAAUUACUUGUUAACAUAAGAAACACCCACAAAAAUUUCCAGAUUAAUUGCAUGAUCCAGUUAUUUAUUAAAAAUCAUAAACCACUGCAAUGCAAGCAUUUAAAUCAUCAUAAAUUAAUUUAUACAGAAAAUAAUAUGUGACAUAUUUUUCCUAGAGACUAAUCAUCCAUGCAAAGCUAACAAAACAAGUUUCACCUUUUUCUGAGUUAUAUUUUAAUUACUAUGCAUUUUCUACUUAUCAACAAAACAUGGAUUAAAUACAUUUGCAUAGAAAAGUUGUUCAAACAUGACAUGAAACCAUGCCAAACUACAGAUAUGGAAUUAUAGAACACACCAAAAUUUAUUUCAUCAUUUUUGGAGCCAUGGAUCUCAAGAUAUAGAUUUAGUACCAUUUAAAUCAUUUUCUGGAAAACCUUUUAUGAAAAACCAUUUCAAAUCCACAACAAAAAACGCUAGGAACAUCCGGAUCUCUACCUGCCUCGGUCCCCCUGCGGCUGACAGUGGGUCCCCGACCCCACUGGUCAGCGUGAUCGAGAGGGAGAGUACCUCCGACGAGCGGAUCUCGUCGGCGGUGAGGUCUCCGGCCACGGGGUGAGCACCAACAUGCUCCCCGCAGCGAGGCACACCUAAUGGUGCCCUUGGUUUGGCUGGAGGACGACCAGAGCACCCCUGCUGGCGUGCAUGGCGGCACGGCGGCGCUGCUCGCCGUGGCCGGGCCACUCCGGCGGAGUAGAACGCGCGCGGGGUACCGUCUAAGCUUCCUCGUCACGCUCUGAACCUAACGCGCUCAAGAACAAGCCAAACGGGGCAGAAACGGGAAGGUUUCGACGCGGCGAAGCACUUUGACAAGGUCGGGUGAACUCCGGCGAGAGAUUGCGGUCUCACGGAGGGUUUUCACCUCGGUAGAGCGCGCGCAGGGGCUUACCGCGGCGAAGGCGAACACGACGGUGGUCUUGGCGCAGAGAACAGACCACUAACGCGGCUUGCGGCGAGCGGCGGAGCUUCGGCCGGCAAUAGCGCCGCGGCGGUUGCUGUUGCUGCGGCUGCGCUCGCGAGCGGAGAAGGAGAGGGAGCGGGGGGGACAGAAUGGCGUCUGGGGGCACGGGCUGCCGUCCCGACCGGGGUAAGCCGGUCGGCCGAGCGGGCGUCCACGACGCCGGCGUACGGCCGCCACGUGGCCGGCGCCGGGUGGAGCGAGGCGAGUGUCCGCGCGCGGGAGAGGGGAGGGGAGGCCGGGCCGCGCGGCUUGGAUGGGCCGAAAGGGAGGCGGGUCGGCCUAGCAGCGCCUGCCCCCUUUCCUCUUUUUUCUUGAAUUUUUUUUCUCCAAUACUUUUCCAAACUCAUUUUGACAAAUUUAAGUCCUUUUUCAGCUCUAGCCCCCAAAACAAAAGUUGCUCUAAAUAAAAAGUUCUACAACUUUGUUUUAAGCUAUAAUUCCAAAUUCCCAAUAGAAUUUGAAAAACCACUCAAAACUUGUUCUAGGUUUAAAUAAAUUCAUUUUGGGGCUUUUUGUAUAAAAUCCAUUUCUCAAAUUCUAUAGCUCCAAAAAUUUCACAAAAUUAUUCUUAAUUCUUCUAAAACAUAUUUCAAUCUAUUUUUGUCAUUUCAAGAAAUUUGGAAGCAAGCAUACUAUUUUUAUCAUAUUUAAAUCACAUAAAUUAAGCACAUAAAAUCACACUUGAAUUACUACUAUGCUCAUGUGAUGUUAUGCGUAUGCCAUGCUUGAUGAAAAUGCUUAUGGUAGAGUGUAUGAGACUAAGUGCAUGCUUAACACCUAGGGUGUUAUAGCCCUUCCCCCCUUAGAGUUGUUACUAACCAUUUCUUAUGAAAUCUUGGGUAAACUGUUUUUAGGUAAUCCUCGGUUUCCCAGGUGGCAUUCCAAUCAUCGUGAUGACUCCACACCACAUUAUAUGUUUUGACAACUCUGUUCUAGGUUACCCGCUCCUUGGUAUCUACGAUACCCACUGGUUGCUCCUUAUAUUCCAAAUCUGCCUUUAUCUUGAUUCCUCGAGGUUCGAUCCUUUGCUCAGGCACUUUCAAACAUUUUCGCAGCUGUGACACAUGGAAAACUAGAAAGAUUGAGCUCAACUCCUCAGGUAACUCAAUCUUGUAGGCCACAGGGCCCUUUCGUUCUAGUAUCUGGUACGGCUCCACAUAUCUAGGUGCAAGUUUGCUUCUAACUCGGAAACGCUGAACCUUCUUCAUCGGCGUAACCUUGAGGUAAGCAUAGUCACCCACAUUAAACUCGAGUGGCCUUCUUCUCUUAUCGGCCUAACUCUUUUGCCAUGAUUGUGCCGCUCUCAUAUGUUGUUGUAUGAUUUGCACCUUCUUGUCAGCCUCGUUCAUGAAGUCGAUACCAUAGUAUCUCCUUUCACCGGGUUCGACCCAGUUUAACGGAGUUCUGCACUUUCGACCAUACAGCCUCGAUCGGAGCCAUCUUGAAACUCUCUUGAUAGCUAUUGUUGUACGAGAAUUGAGCCAAAGGUAACCAUGAUUCCGAUGAUCCCCUAGAUGAUAACACACAAGCUCGUAGCAUAUCUUCGAGCACUUGAUUGAGUCUUUCCGUUUGACCCAAGGUUUGAGGAUGAUACGCUGUGCUUCUUAUCAGACUAGUCCCCAAACUCUUAUGCAUUCGCUCCCAAAAAUGAGCGGUGAACUGCAGUCCUCUAUCUGAUAUGAUGGUCUUGGGAAUACCAUGCAACUUGACAAUCUCAGCUAGAUACAAAUCAGCAUACUCGGGAGGUCUGUAACGAGUCUUAACAGGAAUGAAAUGAGCCGACUUGGUCAAUGGAUCUAUGAUUACCCAAAUCGAGUCAUUCCCCUUUUGUGUAGUCAGCAGACUGGUGAUGAAGUCCAUACUGACCUCUUCCCACUUCCACUCUGGAACCGAUAACGGUUGCAACAGCCCUGCAGGUUUCAUGUGUAUAGCUUUGACUCUGCAACACGUGUCACAACGGGCCACGUAUGCUGCUAUCUCUUUCUUCAUUUUGGUCCACCAAAAGUGAGACCUUAGGUCUUGAUACAUCUUACUACUGUCAGGAUAGACAGAAAGCUUUGAGAGAUGUGCUUCAUCCAUGAUGUGAUUCUUUAGUUUUCGAUUUUUCGGAACUACCAACCGGUGCUGAAACCACAGCACACCUUUCUCAUCAACUCGGAAUUGAGUCUUUGGGUCGUUUUUAAUCUUCUCUUUGAUGUGAGAAAUACCCUUAUCUGUUUCCUAACCUUUGAUGUCUUGACUUUCUAGCAAACAACUGAGCUGUAUGUGACAUAACACUUCAGGAUGCAUGAGAUUGAAACCAUAUUCGAACAAGGGUUGAACCACUUGAUAGUGUGGUUUGCGACUCAACGCGUCUGCUACCACAUUAGCCUUGCCUGGAUGAUAGUGUACCUCCAGAUUGUAAUCCUUGAUCAGCUCUAACCAUCUUUGCUGCCUCAUAUUCAGCUCGGACUGAGUGAAGAUGUACUUUAGAUUUUUAUGAUCUGUGUAGAUAUGACACUUGUUUCCCAGCAAAUAGUUCCUCUAGAUUUUCAGAGCGUGUACUACCACUGCUAGCUCGAGGUCAUGAGUCGGAUAGUUGAUUUCGUGCUUUCUUAACUGUCGUGAAGCGUAAGCUAUAACUUUUCCUUCUUGCGUCAGCACACAUCCUAAACCACUUUUCGAUGCGUCGUAGAACACAUCAAAAGGCUUCUCGAUAUUUGGCUGUGCCAGAACAGGAGCGGUGGUCAGCAACUUUCGCAAGGUGCGGAAGGAUACUUCACACCCUUCUGUCCAAACAAACUUAUGAUCCUUUUGUAGCAAACUGGUCAUUGGCUUAGCAAUCUUGGAGAAGUUGGGUAUGAAGCAACGAUAAUAUCCAGCUAGACCAAGAAAGCUUCGAACUUCCGAGAUAGAAGUUGGUGCCUUCUAGUCCAUGACUUCCUGUACCUUUGACGGAUCCACAGCAAUCCCCUCUUCUGACAGAAUGUGCCCGAGAAAAGGAACUUUCUUUAGCCAGAACUCGCACUUGCUAAACUUUGCAUACAACUGAUGUUCUCGCAGUCGUGUUAGCACGACUCUUAGAUGCUCGACAUGAUCUUGAUCAUUCUCUGAAUAGACCAGAAUGUCAUCGAUGAACACCACAACAAACUUGUCUAAUUCUAGCAUAAAGACUGAGUUCAUCAGAUACAUAAAGUAUGCAGGAGCAUUUGUCAACCCAAAGGACAUGACAAGAUACUCAUACAACCCAUAUCUGGUGGAGAAGCAGUCUUCGGUAUAUAUUGCGGACGGAUCAUGAUUUGAUGAUACCCGGACCUCGAAUCUAUCUUAGAGAACACUUUUGCCUUCGACAACUGAUCAAACAAGAUAUCAAUCCUUAGCAACAGAUACUUAUUCUUGAUUGUUACCGCAUUGAGUGGACGAUAGUCCACGCACAUGCGCAACGAUUGAUCCUUCUUUCUCACGAAAAACGCCGGACAACCACAUUCCGACGAACUUGGCCGGAUGAAACCUUUAUCCAGCAACUCCUUUAGUUGAUUCUUCAAUUCAGCGAGCACAUUAGGUGGCAUCUAGUACGGCCUUCUAGAGAUCGGUGUUGUACCUGGUAUCAACUCUAUUGCAAACUCUACUUUCCUAUCUGAGGGAAGUUCUGGCAAUUCCUCAGGAAAAACAUCAGGAAACUCACAGACUACUGGUAUGUGUUCUAGUGGAACCACCUGUACUGCACAUGAAAGACUGGCGAAGUCGAAGCGUCGGGGUAGCCUGACCUGAAGCAUGCCCUCCCCCAGAGGAUCUUUAAGGGAGAGAGUUCUAUGUCCCACAUCUAUAACUGCACCCCAGUCAGUCAUCUUAUUCAUUCCAAUGAUAACAUCCAAAACUAGCCCUGGCAUGAUCACAAGGUUUACACGAAACCUUCGGCCACUGAUAUCCAAAGUAAGCCCUCUUACUGCUUUGUUAGUCAACACAUCAGCCCCUGCUGAACUAAUACGAUAACCAUAACCCAACUCGGUAACUGGUUGGUCAUGCUUUUGUGAAAAUGCUUGGCUCAUGAAUGAAUGCGAUGAUCCAGAAUCAAACAAAACAACUGCAAGAUGUUGGUUGACAGGAAACAUACCAGCUAUGACCAGAUCUCCUUCCAGGAUCUUAUCUAUCGAGGUGUGGUACACAGAGGCCGGGUAGGUCCUCUGCUGCUUCUUGGGGUAGGGACAUUCCUUAGCAAAGUGCCCCAUCUUGUGGCAGUUAUAGCAUGGUCCCUUAGUCAUGUUGUUGGCAGCAGGUGCCACAGCUUGAAUUGCCUUUGGCAUGGCGGGAGCUAUUGCUACCUUGCACGGCUUCUGCUGCGUUGGAUGCCUUGUGUUCCAUCUCUCAGGCGGUCAGAACCUAGCACCUGGGAUAGGAGGAUGAUACUGCUGAUGCCCUGCCACUGGUGCCCGGGACUAAGACGACCCGGCUUCAAAAGCCCUCUUGCGUGACUUGGAUGCACUAUAGUUGUUGUUAUUGUUCUCCUGGGUCAAACAGUCACUGAUGUAGGCAUUGAAGGUAGCCCGGGUUCCUAUACCCAUGGUCUUUAGCAUCUUUGGGCUCAAGCCUCUCUAGAAACUAGCGAUCUCUUUGGCCUCUGUGUUCACAAACUCGAGAGCGUAAUGAGCGAGAUUGUUGAAAGCGUGCAGAUACUCCUUCACAGACUUCGUUCCCUGGGACAGCCUCAUGAACUCUCCAACCUUCAUUUCCACCACGCCCGGAGGGAUAUAAUUCCCCCGAAAAGCGGUGGUGAAGCGGUUCCAGGUGAUCGGGGUCCCCUCUGGUAGGUGGUACGAUGAUGGGACCACCAUAUCCCAGCAGGCCCCUGCAACUGAUGUGCUGCAUACUCGGCCUUGAGCUCUUCGGUCAUCCGAAGGAGACGGAACUUUUGCUCCAUGCUGUUAAUCCACUCAUCUGCCUCAAGCGGUUCCAAAGCCUCCUUGAAGACUGGUGGUUUAGUAUCCAUGAAGUCCAUGAAAGAGCUGUACUGAAUGACUUCACGACCGCCUUGGUUAUCCCCACGGCUGGUGUUGUCAGCGAUAUUGUGCAGGGCUUCUUCCAUGUUGCGCUGCAUCAGCUCCAUAUUGCGUUGGCUCCCCAGAAACUACGCGAAAAACACGUCUGUAGUGUAUAGAGGAGGGGGUGGUGGUGGCGGUUAUGGUGCUCUCUCGUCAUUCCUUUGAGCCCACCUACGGAAGAACCUGCUCCAAGACCAAGGUUGCUAUUACCGCCGCCAUGCGUUUGCACCAUCUGCAUGCCUCAAUGAUAAGCCGUCGUUAGGAGUUGUUAUCAACGGUAGACGUAUGUAGAAUUAUGUCGUACUAAAUUUACUGAGGAAAAUAAAUUCGCACAAUAAACAGAGGCACAAGAAUUCAUCAUCCACACACACAACAUCACUAACAGAUUACUAACAUUCGAGCAACAAGGUCCGCAUACGUCCAAAAUUGCCAGCAUACAUACACUGGACUUUCAGCGUUUAACACAACUCAACACGUAGAGUCUUACACAACAACGAUCCAACCGAUUACAAGACAUGCCAUGCAUCAACAACAGCAAAAGAAGAAGGACUAGCUCUAGAGCCCUAGCAUCUACUCGCUAUGGUCACUGUCCAUGCCGGAGCCCUCCUCGUCCUCAUCUCCACUAGCGGCUGCCUCCAUCUCUGGAUCCUCAUCCAUCUCAUCCUCAGAAUCUAACUCAGCUACUCCGGGCAGGUGGUGAGGGUGGAGCUGGUUAUGCAGCUGGUGGAUCUCCUCAUGCAAGUUCUCAUUGUACUCCUCAGCAUUAGUUAGCUGCUGCUCAAGCUCUAGCUGUCGGGCCCUCAGGGUGUCCUCCUCGUGCCAGGCUUCAUUCCUCUAACCAAGCACAUGAACGAGCAUGCGCUCGCAGUUCCUAUGAGCGGUGGUCACCCUGUCCCUCUACUCCCUCACUGCGAGCAGGUCCUGACUCAACUCACUGUUCUUCUGGACUGCCUGAUCCCUCUCUAGAGUCAUGGGGGCCAACUCUGCCUGCAUCCUCUCAACCUCACUAUCAAACUCGCGCUGCUACUGGCGCUUCUCAUCCUGAACUGUGAGAAGGGACCCAGACAAGUGCCCCAAACAACGCUCUAGACCCCCAUAGGUCUUCAUCAGGGCGAACAUAGCACUCAUAGCUAGGCUGUCACUAUGCUGAUCCUCACCCGCACUCCUCUCUAGAGCAUUCACCUCGGACUGAUCCCACACCAAAGUGUAGGGGUCACCCCUAGGAAACACCCCAGCGAAGGCGUGGGCCAGCUCCUGUGGAAACCUCUCCAUGAUGUCCCUCAGAACUGCAAAAGCAGCCCUACUGGCACCGUGGAAAGGCGUGGUACCAUGAGACUUGUACACCUAGACACCCCAGGCUCCUCUGGUAGGGACCACUGCCUCGAUCCCCACCAGGGUCCCGUCACCAAGCUACUCCUUGUUCCAAUAGUAGCGAGGUUCCCUUCCUUCGGGAUACCCCCAUCGAACUGAGCACCCUCCAAAGCAAGGUGGGCAUCCCAAACUCCUCUAGGAACUUGCUCUUAUGACACGAGCUCCUAGCUGCCAACUGAUGGCGAGGGGCCCACCCACGAGUCGACUUGCGCGAAGUGAGCCUAGUGCGUGCCAUCUGCUGCAAAUAGAAUACCUUGGAAAGACUGAGGAUAAUCUUUUAUUAUCUUAAUUGAAAUUGGGACAGAUUCAAUUAAGGGGAGGAAGUAAACAAUGAUAUGGAAUGAACAUGAUGCAUGCACGAACUUAUGAUCUCACAAACUUAGAAAAGAAAGUCAAUACUAAUCGGUAUAUGCGGUGGCACAUAAAGUUCUCUCAUAACGUAACUAGCGUUCUAGGCGGGAACGUGGUUAGUGUACCUGCAAAAAACUCAUUUCAGCCCAACCCCAGUAUGAACAUGCAGAACAAGAAUUUAGAGCUACACACCCCACACACAUAGACACCACAUCCAUGCAUAUGGCGUGGUACUACCUACAUCAUGGCCCUAGUGACGGCAUCGCCUCUCAGGACGGAAUUUCCCAACAUGCGGUACUUUUCCUAGGCACACCAACAUGUGCGCAUGACACAGCCCCUAAAAUCACUUCCCUAGAUCGGCAGUGUAUACGAUCAUGCUCUCACAGCUCCCCCUUACCGAGGCUUAGAGGAAAAAUUGAUCCACACAUUACCACUCAAAUGAAUGGCACUCAUACUAUUGCAUGGCGUAUGAGCGACGAAAUAGAAAUAUGAUGCAUAACCCCCAAGUUAGUACUGAACUAGCCACCUUAGAGUCCAUAACCGGGCAUAAAGGGUAUGACCAUGGCACACUGUGUAAUUUUCCAAAAACUCAUUUGAACACCUUGAUUCUCAUUAAUUUCAUAGUUAACUUUCAUUAACCGGUUUAAGUUUAAUUUAGAACGUACUUAUGAACAGUAACUCACUAAACCUUGCUCCGAUACCAGCUGUAACAGAACCGCCCAAAUUAUAAGAGAUUAAGCCUAAUGGUGACCAUUUGCAUAGUCGAACCAUCGAGCUUAAGCCCAUAUAAUCCCGGUAGUCCGUGAAAUCUCGAGGGAUUUCAAACCACAAAUCGUACAUACAGCCAAGAUCGUAAUAAGUUCAGCGGUCACCAUUCACAAUUACAUCCAGUUCGCAUCAUUCAUGAUAUACAUCGGAGUUACUUAAAGUUAUUAAAAACCAAGUUCUCCAGUAGCGAAAGCUUCAUAGUUUGAAAGUAACACACACACACACAUUUAGUCUGAUACAGUGCCAUAGUUGAUCAUUCCCACAAAAGCAAAAGAGGAGGUAGAGUGACCAUCGCCCUUGGCCUAGUCAUUACCUAUUGCUGGGUACAAGCAGAGAAUGCAAUAACCAUAGUACAUAUGCCCAUCUGCAAAGCAACAUGGGAAUAGAACCCUGAGUACGAGAAUGUACUCAGCUAGACUUACCCGUUAUAAACCAAAAAUAAAGACUCUUCAAGGAUCAUGAAGGCUGUAUAGUGGGCUAGCUGAGACUUUUUGCAUAAAAGUACUACUCAACUAGAAGUACAUCCUAACAGUACUCCCUCUUCUUUUAAUUAGCUCAGGUUAGGUAUUAUUACCUAUCAUCUAGAUUUGCACCUGUACUAUUCCAAACAAGUGUGGUGAUAUGAUGGUACCUCAUCAUACCAUUCAUAAAUCAUUUAUCAUCAUACCCAAGUGUUCCAUAGUCCUUACUACGAGGACAAGGCUCAUGUCAAGUGCUCACUAUCCAGGAGCGAUGGCGAUUCGAAUCGAUUUCUGACCACCUGGCGAGUUUAUUCCCCACACAAACCACACUCACUGAUCAAGUGAGCUAUAGAUCACCGUAUUGCACUAUCCAGGACCAAUUCGCGGAUUCGACCGGCACCGCCCGUACCCGAGGACCGUUCCGACGAUCGAGGUAUCCAUGGUAUAACAAGGUUGCACGCCGCGCCCUCGUCGUUCUCCUCAACCAUCAACAAUACGACGCGUACAUCGGGCCGAUUCUCGGCCCGGAUAGUGCUCAGGCUUCGCGGUCGGAACGACUUAUCCUUCCAGCUAAGUGUGGGGCAUGCGUUCAACAUGACAAGAGGGCCGUCAACGAUCGGUCCUUAACCGACACAAGCAGGGGCACUACAGUCAACCCCACCAUAUGACCCUGCCCGGUCUCAAGUUCAAUCCCACACUUGGUUACUUCCCUCUUAGCAUUGACAGCUAAUCAAAUAGGUGUUCACCUAUAUCUCGCAGGUGACAGGAAAUCACCCGACUUCUACCGUACUAAGGAAGCUAAGCAUAGACUCCGAGCCUAUCUACAUAGGACAAGGUAGAUAAACAAGGGGUGAUAUCAAGGAGUAAGUAUGCAUCAAUGGUAUCAAGCAAUUCCUAUCACUUAAAUGGAACAUAGUAAAACCAGCAUAAUAUACUAAUUAAGUUAGCGAGAAUAGGGAGACUUAGAAUGCUCUGGGGCUGGCCUUUCUCAAACGUGCUCGGCUUGUGGUCCGAGCACUCCUGCAGCUCUUCUCCCGGCUCUAGUCCUCCUUGAAGUUCCUACUCUGGGGUUUCCUCCUGCUCCUCGGGUCCCACUUCGUUCUCCUGCAAGCCUAUAUGAUGCAUGUGUGCUUAUGAGUGGAGUGCGAGAUGCCCGGGGUGCAAUGCUUAUGCAAGUGGGUAUCAGAAGACCAUGACAUGGUCCAUAGAUGACAUAGGUGGUUAUUUCUACAAGGUAGUCAACAUCAUCCAAAAACAUGUACUCAGAUUAAUCAUCUAUUGCAUUCUCUUCUACAAGUUGCCUUUAUGGUUAACCAGCAAGCUAACAUGAUGCUUCAAAGAUACACCAAACACCCUUUUAUUCCAUUUAAUUUAUGCAUAACAAUUCAUAAUUUAUUUUAAUUAUUAUUGGACCUACAACAGCAGCAUAUGUUUCUGUUUAUCAAUAAAUUCCAUAAAAAUUACAGUAGAUCACUGGUCAAUCAUAAAGUCUACCAUAAAUUUUUCAUAAUAUUUGGACACUUAUUUUGGGCUACACAAAUUACAAGAUUAUUCAAUAUAAUUAAGUACAAAUACCCUACUGUUGACCAAGUGUCCAACAGAUUUCAUAUUUUUAUAAAUUGCUUGUUAACAUAAGAAACACCCACAAAAAUUUCUAGAUUAAUGGCAUGAUCCAGUUAUUUAUUAAAAAUCAUAAACCACUGCCAUGCAAGCAUUUAAAUCAUCAUAAAUUAAUUUAUACAGAAAAUAAUAUGUGACAUAUUUUUCCUAGAGACUAAUCAUCCAGGCAAAGCUAACAAAACAAGUUUCACCAUUUUCUGAGUUAUAUUUUAAUUGCUAUGCAUUUUCUACUUAUCAACAAAACAUGGAUUAAAUACAUUUGCACAGAAAAGUUGUUCAAACAUGACAUGCAACCACACCAAACUACAGAUCUAGACUUAUAGAACACACCAAAAUUUAUUUCAUCAUUUUUGGAGCCAUAGAUCUCAAGAUAUAGAUUUAAUACCAUUUCAAUCAUUUUCUAGAAAACCUUUUCUAAAAAACCAUUUCAAAUCCGGAACGAAAAAUGCUAGGAACACCCGAUCUCUACCCGCCUCGGUCCUCCUGCGGCUAACAGUGGGUCCCCGACCCCACUGGUCAGCGUGACCGAGAGGGAGAGCACCUCCGACGAGCAGAUCUCGUCGGCGGUGAGGUCUCUAGCCACGAGGUGAGCACCAACGUGCUCCCCGUAGCGAGGCGCACUCGAGGGUGCCAUUGGUUUGGCUGGAGGACGACCGGAACACCCCUGCUGACGUGCAUGGUGGCACGGCAGCGCUGCUCGCCGUGGCCAGGCCACUCCGGCGGAGUAGAACACGUGCGGGGUACCGUCUAAGCUUCCUCGUCACGCUCCGAACCUAACGCGCUCAAGAACAAGCAAAACGGGGCAGAAACGGGAAGGUUUCGACGUGGCAGAGCACUCUAACAAGGUCGGGAGAACUCCGGCGAGAGAUUGCGGUCUCGUGGAGGGUUUUCACCUCGGUAGAGCGCGCGCAGGGGCUUACCGGGGCGAAGGCGAACACGGCGGUGGUCUUGGCGAAGAGAACGGACCACUAACGCGGCCUGCGGCGAGCGGCGGAGCUUCGGCCGGCAAUGGCGCCACGGCGGUUGCUGCUGCUGCGGCUGCGCUCGCGAGCGGAGAAGGAGAGGGAGCGGGGGGGACAGAAUGGCGUCUGGUGGCGCGGGGUGCCGUCCCGACCGGGGUAAGCCGGUCGGCCGAGCGGGCGUCCACGACGCCGGUGUACGGCCGGCACGUGACCGGCGCCGGGUGGAGCGAGGCGGACAUCCGCGCGUGGGAGAGGGGAGGGGAGGCCGGGCCGCGCGGCUUGGAUGGGCGAAAAGGGAGGCGGAUCGGCCCAUCAGCGCCUGCCCCCUUUCCUCUUUUUUUGAAUUUCUUUUCUCCAAUACUUUUUCAAACUUAUUUUGACAAAUUUAUACCCUUUUUCAGCUCUGGCCCCCAAAACAAAAGUUGUUCUAAAUAAAAAGUUCUACAACUUUGUUUCAAGCUGUAAUUCCAAAUUCCUAAUAGAAUUUGAAAUUCCACUCAAAACUAGUUCUAGGUUUUAAAUAAAUUCAUUUUGGGGCUUUUUGUAUAAAAUCCAUUUCUCAAAUUCUAUAGCUCCAAAAAUUUCACAAAAUUAUUCUUAGUUCUUCUAUAACAUAUUUCAAUCUAUUUUGGUCAUUUCAAGAAAUUUAGAAGCCAUAAUAUUUUUAUCAUAUUUAAAUCACAUAAAUUAAGCACAUAAAAUCACACUUGAAUUACUACUAUGCUCAUGUGAUGUUAUGCUUAUGCCAUGCUUGAUGAGAAUGCUUAUGAGAGAGUGUAUGAGACUAAGUGCAUGCUUAACACCUAGGGUGUUACAGCGUCGGAGGGAAAACAACUUCGCCAACAUAAACUGAUGGUUUCCCAAGGACAAGCUUAGUGUCCUAAAAUAAGCACUGAUGAGAUCAUAACAUGAACUUUUAAUUAGUUGCAAUAUUACCUUGUGUAUUGAGCAUAUAAGAAUAAUUGUAAAAAUAUUCCUUCGGGUAUUCUUGUCACUAACCUUUCUAGGAUUGGAGCAAGAAGAUCGGAUGAACGACAAGCAAGUACAAGGUAUGUCCAACCAAUCAUUAUGCAACACUGAAUUAAAUUCAUCCAAACUUUAACUUUGCAAAAUUCAAGCUUGGGGGAGUACCUUACAUAAAAACAUCCUUUGCCAUGUUGCUGUGUUGGUUGUCCCUACCUUUGAGACAUGCUCAAUUGAUUAAAUACUAAUCACACUACUUCAUCUCCACUUGAGUAGAUCUCUAUAAAUGCCAUCACGCUACCUUUGUUUAUCCUAGUAAGUGUUAGUUUGGAAGUACUGCACAUACUUCUAUUGGCUUUUAAAUUAAGCAUGGUGCUUAGGUUAAACAGCCUUCCUUAAUCUGAUUAGACAUGGAGUGUAGUUGGGUUAUUGAACUAAAAACUGCUUGUGUAGACAUUGGUAUAUUUUGUCAGACUAACCCCUGCAGAAAAACUUUCAAUGUCGAUUUGGGAUGUCCUGAGAUAAACUCACAUCGGAGAUGAAGAGAGAGACACAUGAAGUUUAACAAUUUGCACAAGAAGGACAUGGCUCAUUCAUCAUAGAGAGAUGAUCCAUGGAAGGAGACAAAGUACAUAAACAAGAUGCACAACUGCUAAGAAAGGAAGCUUUCACAAGGUGAGAUAGUACCAUCACUCUUCAAUUAAGGUAACAUCUUAAGAUAUGUGACUAUCACUUUUAUAAGUUUCUCCUUGGUUCUGGCGUUCACAUAAAUAAAGAGACAAACAUGUAUGAUUUAUAACUCCAUUAACCAACCCAACUGAUUCGUCAUGUUUAGUCCUUUAAUCUUUGUUCCUAGUACUACCUCCAUGAUCCCACACUAAUCAUAUGAGCUAAAAUGUUGCACAUUCAAUCUUUGGGAAGAUAUAAAGAAAAAGACAUAUACAUAAAUAGAUUAUCUUUCCAUAAGGUUGAGCGAUCUGAUCUGACAAAUGUAUUAAAUGCUGCACUCAAGAACUUAUUACCCAUCAACUUUGUCUUGCUCCCUAUGCUUAAGGAUAGAGAAGAAUAAAUAUACUUUUGGUUCUGUUGGUGUUUUCCACCAACAGGACCCACGCACUUGAUCUUCGCCUCGUCUCUAUGAGCAGGACACAUUUUGAGAAACAUGGAGGAUUUUUCAACUCUCAGACACUACCAAGUGAAGGACCUGGAUCUACGAGCACAAACACACUGAGUAAGAUACUGCCAACGCCACACUUCGAACUGCUCGGCAAAUGAAGAACAUGGGUGACACCGUAUCAAGAGGUGCAGACGUCAAGGUCCACACCUGAAUCAAAUGACGCACCUAAAGAAUGAACACGGUGAGAAGUCUUGUUCAGAAGACUUAAAACAUUGAACCCUUGCCGAAAGGUAAAAUCGGUAGUUAUCCAUAUUUAUCCUUUCUGCAUUCCCUUUUUCCAUAAAUUAUUUACUUCCCUUAAAUAACUUGUUAGUUAAUCAUGCUAUCUUGAAAAGAAAUUAAAAAUAUUAAAACAUUAAGCCCCAUGUGAGUAUGCUCGUGGCAUAAAACCCAUAAGCACGUUCACUGUGGUGGCGUAAAAAUAAAAAUAUUUCUGUUCUAUAAGGUGAAAUGAUAAAAAUAAAUUUAUGAUCCUACCAAAGAGAGUAAUAUUUAUUAGAGGAAGCUCAACAUGAUAAUGGCUAAGAGAUUUUAUGCUAACACCUAACUAGUUCCAUAAAGCUUUGUUGUCUAUUUGAGCUCCACGAAAUUCAAGGAUCAAAGAAGGCUAGCAGACGAAGGACAUCCUAAUUGCUGUCAGGGUGCUGCCGACAUUCAAAUACACCUCCGCCACCUGCUAGCUACAUUAGAAGAAAUUACGUCAAAAUCCAGCUUGGGGGAGAGCACCCCCAUUUAUCCAGCUAAGUGUUUAUAUUCGUGUUUAUACUUUACUCAAAUAAUAAAAAGAUGCAUAAUCAUAAAAACCCAAAUAAAGAUUUUGUGCUCUUAUCUUUGCUUAGUUUGCUAAAUAAAUAAAUAAAAUGUCUAUGCCAAAUUGAACUCCAAUGGUAAACUCUUACAUGGAUAUGAUAAAUAGUUGCUCUCCGAAGUACCUAGUUUUUAAAUUUGAGCCCUCUCUCAAGUUUAGGCAUAACUGUUAUAAUUUAAACCUUGCUCUAAACCUAAACUUGUGGGAAGAGUACCUAAUCAAAAGCCUAAGUCAUUAACGGAUAUGAUAUGGGAAGGUUGAGCUGCUGUUUAUCUAUUCCUAGAGAUACAAGAAUUUUAUCUUUGAAAAUCAUUAAAAUGUUGCAUGAUGAGUUCCUGUAUGAUGAGAGUUUAAAAUCCUACCACAGCCAUAUAUACAUGCUUACUAGACUAUGAACCAUACAUUUACUUUUUACUACUUAUGAGCAUUGAGUGUGGUCAAGCUGUGUAGACCCUUAAGAACUUGUCAUGCGGUUAAAAUCAAGAUUCACUUGCACGUUCACUCAUACAUGCUACUUCUACUCUGGAAGUACGCAUCCAGAUACAUCCACUCAUUUCCAUCUCCAGAUCCACCCAAAAUUAUUCUACUCCUAUUCAGGAGAGAAUAGCUAAAAGCAUUCUCCUAUUUUUGUUUUCCCUGUGAAAUAAAUGCUCGAGAUAUUUUGGUUACUUCCACUUGCUACAUUAUUCCAGGAGGGUGAGUGCUCUAAAAAAAGAGAAGAAAAAGGAAAAAUACGAGGAAAUAAAAAGGGGCAAGUGCCCGGAACCUCGAAGAAAAGAAAAAGUGAGACGAGAGGUAAAAAUGGACAAGUGUCCGACAGUAGAAUUAGGGGUACAAGAUACCCACCGGAGAGAAAAGAAAAAGAAAAUAUAGAGCAUCUCAUUCUCCUCAAAAGCUUCAAAGUGCAAGAAAGGUAUGUAUCCUCUCAAAAGAGCAAAAGUAGAAUUAGACUUUCACCAUUGUUUUCACCAUGAUCAUCAUACACAUUCAUUCACCACACAUGCACAUCUUGAUAUUGACUUAUUGACUUGUUUCUUUGGAUCCAUGGUUUGACUAUGCAAUAAAUGUCUUGUAAGUAUAAAUUAGUUGUCUCCCACCUAUGAGCUCCAGAUGUCAAAACCUUAUUAGAGUAGGGUGAGAGAGAAGGCAUAUACCAUCACUGCCUUGGUAAGGAUCCAGAAAUACCACAAAAGAGAGAAUUAAGAGAGUCAUACAAUGAAUCUCUGAGUUUUAUUUUAAAAAUCUGCAAAAAAAACUCCAGAGUUAUAGUUGAUCAAAGAACAAGAGACAUGGUGCUUGACUAGACCGUUCUAUCUUUUAACUGCUCAAGACACAAGUGACGGUUGAAAGCCCCAUGGUGAAAGGUAAAAUAAGUAAGUUUUAAGUCUUAACAAUUUACCCUAACUCAGAGAUGAGAUCUUGUUUGAACACAUGUGUACCUUUAAGGCAUGAAACCACUGCAGAAACUCUUGAGUCCAUCCUUGCUCAGGAAAGAGCAAGAGGUAAGCUUGGGGGAGUUGUUGACAGUCCUUAAGUACCAAAUUUAAUUAUCAAAUAAACAAAGAAAAGGAUCCAAAUGCAACCAACACCCAAACUUAGGGUUUUAUCUGACAGAAUUCCACAAGUUUUGGUGUUUGUCUAUUUCUGCAGGGGAUUAUCAGGAAAUAUGGAGGAAAGGACCACAUGUCGGGUUUACAUAGAGAUAUUAAUGUGCCGCGCAAUUUUCUAUCAUCUAGAAGACUCCAGAAGCCACAGGAACGAACAAGAAGCCGAGCGGGCCCGGGGGCAGGGCGCCCACCCUCCCCCCUAGGGCGCCCGCCCAGUCAUCUGGACCAAUCAGGCUCCACCUCGCGGAUCAUGCUCCACCGACCUAAUUGAUUAAAGAAAACCGUGCGAUUAAAGUCGGUUUCAUCCGAUGGCUCACAUUCAUUUGGAGGGGCUAUAUAAACAGGACACCUGGCCCUUGGAGGAGGCUCCCCCUUGAUCCCUAUUCAUUAUUCAUAGACAGAGCAAAAGCUAGGGUUUGGAGAUGAGAGCUCUCCUCUCAUCUCUAAACUAGAGUAGAUCAAGAUAGUAGCGAGAUGGAGAGCGACGGAUGAUUGGAGGAGAGGCUGGCCUGUCGGUUCUUCCUCUGGUUGUACUUUGCCAUGAGCAAGCUCUAAUCAAGCUUGCUCAUGGGAUGACUCUGGUAAUCUACUUCUAUUUCAUUAUGCAAUUACUAUCCAUGUAUGUUAUGGUUCACAACUCUUUUGAGUACUUUAAUCUAUAGGAAGCUAUAGUUGAGAGUUGUAGUAUAGGUGUAGCAUGGUCCUUAGACCUAGAUUACUUGUGGAUAUCCCCUGUCUUGUUGGAUCGUGUGGUAGGCCGCAUGGGUGACAGCUACGUUGGUUCUCUGUAGUCCACCUCCCGUUAGCAGGACUGGUAGGGUUUAUCGGCCUAUGGAUAAGCAUCCUUUGUGGUGUAAUCUUAUCACGUGGUUCGUCCCAGACAUAGACAUACCCCUUUGAAGUAGAGAAACCAUAGUUAUCCUCUCUAUUCUCCUACCAUCGCCCAUAUACUAGAUUGCUCUACUCUCUAUUCUCAUAUUAUAACCCAUUGUUAUCUUACCUUUAAUAUUGCUCUUAUUCAAUUCUACCAUCGUUCCUAUUUACACCUACCUAUCUAUCUAGGUUAAGUUAGAGCGAAGAUCAGUUCUCCCGUUUCCCUGUGGAUACGAUAAAACCUUUAAACGGGCUUGCGGAUUUAUCUGUGUGCGUAUAAUUACCAUAGUACACUCUAGUGCCAUGCUGGGGAUGACAACCUAGUAUUCAAGUGGUGUUAGCAAGUGUCAACAAUCACUUUCUUCUUCUACAAAGAAUUUGGAGUCUUCCUCAUAGUUAGGCUGAGCCAUCUCAUUUAGAGUAGCCAUCCUUGCCUUAUCUAGAGGGUCUAGGUCUUGUGGUUUUUUAGCAAUGGAAUUGAUUGCAUGAACGAAGGGUACAGAGUACUCCUCCCUACCAAUUCGAAUAUCAAGGCUCUCUUUGGUAGAUCCCUGUGACAGCAAGGUAGACCAAGGUUGUCCCAAGAAUACGUUGAAAUAGGUAACAUUGAAGACAUAAAAGUCUAAAAGAUCUUCUACCCCUUCAAGGGAUACGAAAAUGAGUUUCACAAUCCCCUUACUUUCUAAGGUGUUACCAUAUAGGUCUCUAAGACAUUGAUUAAUUUGGAAUCAAUGGGCGUCGGUGAAAUUUCUAGCUAAAUAAGAGCUAGAAAUCAUAUUCAACCCAACAACCGUACUGGGCUAAAAUAUGCCUUCCUCCAAUUUGAAAUUUCCAUGUAGUGACAUGGUAGUCAGUGUGGAGUAUGUCAUCGGUUGCCUCAGCUUCUGCAGUCCAUUCAUGGCUUAGUAAAGCUGAGAGUUCUUGCAAACUGUUUUGGCAAGAACUCUCAUCGGAAGGAUCUAGAGAUUGAUCGAUAGAUUGAAUUGCAUGGAUAGGGUAAUGCCUAGCAUUCCCAUAAUCCUCAAACAAAUCAAGUUUAAUAUCAAAAAGGUUGGAUGGACUUUCUCCCUCCUAUCGGAAGUGUGGAGUGGGUUCGGGUUGACUAACCAAGGGUUCAUCGUCAACAGGGAUGGACAGUUUUUCUCCUAGGAACUUCUCUUUUUCGGGGAAUUCAUCAGGAACACUAGUGUAGGGGGUAUUCUCAAGGAUCUUGGUGAGAUCCUCCCAUCCAACAUGCGCUGAAAGAUGAAGAAAUGCCCCGCUUGACGCAUUGUCAAGAUAAGGGGCGGUCUCCUUAUCUAAUCCAAUAUACAAAUGUUGUAAUAACAUUUGAUCUGGAAUGGCUAAGUCGGGUCCCAAAUUGGCCAAAUUGAUAAGUCUAGCCCAAGCUGCUCCGAGGGUCUCUUCCUCCCUUUGUCCAAAGGUAAGAACCUUGUCUCAUAACUGAACUACUCUAACUACAAGGAAGAACGCUAAGGUGAACUUAGUUCGUAAUGCUUCCCAUUCUCCAUCUACACUAUCUACGGUUCGAGCAUGCCACAGUUUGGCUGCUCCCGUCAAAAUGAACGAAAACAACUUCCAUGUAAGGGUUUCAUGUGACAUGCCUGAGAUAUUCUAGCAUGAACACACAUGCUCAAAAUCUCAUAAAUGUGAAUAUGGGUUUUCUUUCGCAUUUCCUGGGAAGGUACACUCCCGAGCUUUAUUGAUAAUGCUCCCGCGUAACUCAUAACUAUCAACCAAUAUAGGUUGGGAUGAUAGAGGUGGUUCUAAUUGUGAACUCUUAGGAGCUGCAAAGUGGAACAUAGAUAAAUUCUCCAUACGGAGAGGAAUAGAAAUCCUGAUUCUAGUCUUUAGAUAUCAGCUAUCGUUCCCCGGCAACAGCGCUAGAAAAGCUUGUUUACACCUUGGGUGGCACACAGAAUUAACCGCAAGCGCACGGCUGUCAGUUGUAGCUUUUCACCAAAGGAGUAUUCCAAGGGUUAUCGAAUCCACAAGGAACGUGAAGUUAUCUAAAGGCUAGAGGGAAGGAUGACUAUGGGGAUAGAGGUAUAGAGGCUAACUACUAUGGUUGGUCCACUACCGUUACUUUACUAAGGAAAUAUAUAUUCCUGACUUAUGCACUAUGAGUGUAACAACUUAAAAUUUGCAAGUUUCCAAAAUAGGAUAAAUUGAUUUAAUUUGUUAUUUUUUUGUGCUCAUAAAACAUAGGAAAAAUUUAUUAUAGGAUUUAGCAACAUGACUGUGCAUUCAUGAUGGUGCAUAUGUUUUGUUGUAUUGUGUGGAUUUGAUCAAAAUUUAAGAUAAUUCAAACUGGUUUCAAAAUGUUUUCAAAUUGGUUUUUAAAUAGGCUUUGAAAUAAAAGAAUAAAAAAAGAGAAGAACUCUCCCUCUCUAUUUUUUGCCCGAUGGCUCAAGUCUCUCCCCUGGCCUGGCCUAUUUCUGUAGCUCGCGAGUGCAGCAGCAGCCUGGCCCGCACAUGCGUAGGUCACCACAACCCACUCUUUCCUCCCACCGUUAUGCUCUUGGGCCGGCACAUCUCGACAGUUAAGCCCGUGUGUGCGUCCUCUCUCUCUUUCCUGUGCAUCUGACUACCUGGCCCUACAUUCUCUCUCGCUGAUGCUUCGGGUCCACAUGUCAGACUCGUCCUCUACCUCGUGACGGAGCCAGACUCCACUAUGAGUUUGAACCCGCCGCGUGGAUUUCUCGCGCUCGGUGUGUUCCGCACGGCUGUGAGCCCUCUAAGUAGAAGCCACGACUUCGCCCAACACCAUCUUUAGCUUACCUCUUGCUCAUCCCUGAGCAAUGAUAAUCUCAGCGAUGGAUCAGAAGUUAUUGUAAUGCCUUUCACCAUGGGACUUGUAACCGUCACUUUUGUCUUGAGUAGUUAAAAGAUAGAACGGUCUAAUCAAGUGUCAUGUCUCUUAUUCUUGAUCAGCUAUAGCUCUGGAGUUUUUGCAGAUUUUCAAAUAAAACUCAGAGAUUCCUUGUAUGACUCUCUUAGAUCUCUCUUUUGUGGUAUUUCUCGAUCCCUACCAAGGCAGUGAUGGUAUAUGCCUUCUCUCAAGAUAUGUAGUACUUGUGGUAUAAGGCAUUAUGUUAUUGCCUUCUCUCUCACCCUACUCUAAUAAGGUUUUUGAUAUCUGGGGCUCAUAGGUGGGAGACAGAUAAUACAUACUUACAAGACAUUUAUUGUAUAGUCAAACGAUGGAUCCAAAGAAACAAGCCAAUAAGUCAAAUCAAGAUGUGCAUGUGUGGCGAAUGAAUGGAGUAUGGUGAUGAUGGUGAUAACAAUGGUGAAAGUCUAAUUCUACUUUUGCUCUUCGAGGGGAUACAUACCUUUCUUGCUCUUUGAAACUUUUUUAGGAGAAUGAGAUGCUCUAUCUUUUCUUUUUCUUUCCUCUCAGGUGGGUAUCUUGUACCCCUAAUUCUACUGUCGGACACUUGUCCAUUUUUACCUCUCGUCUCACUUUUUCUUUCAUUUCUUUCGAGUUUCUGGGCACUUGUCCCUUUUUAUUUCCUCGUAUCUUGUCUCUUUUUUUAGAGCACUCAUCUCUUGAAAUAAUAUAGCAAGUGGUAGUAACA
rnacentral:lncRNA from 1 species